rnacentral:lncRNA from 1 species
AGCAAUUCAAGUGGAGCGAGAGUGUGGAGAUGUUGAGAUUGCUAAGAAUGAAUGUGGUUAUGGCUUGCGGCAGCCUGUUGCUGCUCUGUUUCGCUGCAUCAGCAAACGCGCAGAAGAGCAGCGCCGCGGCGGUGGCGACUCCGUCUCCGGCGCCGGCUCCGGCCACCGAUUACGUGAAUCUGGCUGAUCUGCUGUCGGUGGCGGGGCCGUUCCACAUCUUCCUGAAAUACCUCGAGUCCACGAAGCUGAUCGACACUUUCCAAGACCAAGCCAACAAAACCGAAGAAGGAAUCACCUUAUUCGUGCCCAAAGACGAGGCGUUCUCAUCCAUAAGGAAGCCAGCCUCUCUCUCCAAUCUCACCAACGACCAGCUCAAAUCCGUCCUCGCCUUCCACGCCAUACCGCAUUACUACUCUCUCUCUGAUUUCAGGAACCUCAGCCUGCAGAACCCCAUCCCCACCUUCGCCGGCGGCCCCAAUUUCGGUCUCAAUUUCACCGACAACGCCGGCACCAUCCGCAUCGACUCUGGAUGGACUAGCACCAAAGUCAUCAGCGCCGUGCACGCUGCCGAUCCCGUUGCAAUCUACGAGACCGAUAAAGUCCUUCUCCCUGAAGCAAUCUUCGGCACCGACAUCCCGCCGUUGCCCCCGGCUCCGGCACCGGCUCCUGCAGCGGAGCCACCUGCGGCCGACAGCCCCGCCGCGGGAGCUGAUAAAGGUUCUUCCUCCUCCUCUUCUUCCUCGAAAUCUGCGGCUACAUCUUCUCGUAGGAAUAUUGGUUUCGGCCAUGUGGUGCCGGCGAUUGUGGGUGUGCUGCUCAUGUUGUGCUGCUGAUAGCCUCCUCGUUUAUUUCUUUGUUUGUCUUGUUGAGUAUGAGUUUAAUUUAAUUACAUUACAUUCAUGGAUCACUGCACACCCAUUUUUCCUUAAUAACUUGUACUCCAUUUUUUAUAGCUAUUCAUUUUCCAUCUACACCACCAUUACAAUACAUGUAUUAUGUUAUGUAUAUGAUGAGGCCUCAUGUAUGUAUGUAUACCUACCUCCCCAACCUUGUUGCUGGAGAAUGUAUCAAUUGCAUUUCAUUAUAUUCCAACAUUUUUUUAAGAUAACAUGUGGAAAGCCUUUUCUUUUGUUUCCAUUUUUAAGAAGUAAGACGUAGACCGCGAUCAAACUCAAUCGUUAUUCUUUUUCGAAGGUCUCUCAAGUAAUUUGAACUUAAAUUUCAAAUCCAAAUAUUCUUGUGCAAUCGGUUUUCAAGAAUGACAUUACCUCAUUCGGAAAAUAAUACUUGAAUAUUUCCGAAUGACACUUCAUUUGUAUGUUAAAAUAAUGUCAUUCAGAAAUCAGUUGCACGGUUCAACCGAUUGCACGAGAGAGUGCCUCAAUUUCAAAUGGUUAUUCAUACAUUAAAAAUAGUAGUAUAUUCGUAAGUUUAUAUUAAUUUAUUCAUUAUUCUAAUUUUAUACGAUUAAUUUGAAUAAUGAAUAUCAGACAAAGACUCGUUUAUAAAGUUUCGUAAACGUUAAUUUGAAUAAUGAAUAUCAGACAAAGACUCGUUGAUUAAUCAUAAUAAUAUGUUGAUGUUGAUAUAGCUGUAAAUGUAACGUAGCUCGCAAAAGUUGUAGAUUUCAUGUCUCUCUCUAUCGAUCUAGCAGUCAACAAUAAUUAAUCUAUUUGAUUUCUCUACGUAUAGCCUCAUCCUCAUGAGUCAUGACAUUCAUAUUGAUAAACAACGACCAGUUGUUUAUUUUCAUUUUCAAAUUUGUUCAAGAAAAAUGUACUAGGGUGUCAUAUCACUAUAAUACUAAUAAAUCAAUGCAGUUCGACGAUCAAUUGUCACUUGUAUUACUCCCUUCUUCCUCACUUAUUAUUGGGUAUUUAUACUGAUAUUCAUUUGUUACCAAAAUAAGAUGUUGAAAACUAUAACUAGAAGUUCUUUUUUUAAAUAACAGGGUUAAUAGUGUUUUAUGUCUCGAACUUUCAUUUUCUCUUAAAAAAAUCUCGAACUUUUAGUUUUUUCCAUAAAAUAUCUCGCCAUCCCCAAACUUUCAGCGUUUUCCAAUAAUGGUGGUUCCUAAUAUGAUUUUCCAACAACGACGGUUCCCAAAAUAUUUCUUUCAGCGAGAUAAUUCAUCUUUUUAUCACCAAAUUUUGUAUAGCAAAACAUUUUAUGAAAAAAACUGAAAGUUCAGGAUUUUUUAAGAGAAAAUGAAAGUUUGAGACAUUUUGUGAAAAACGCUAAAAAUUCGAGACAUAAAGCAGUAUUAACCCUAAAUAAUAUAACCCCAACUCUUUUUGAAAAUAUUCUAGUCGAUGAAAUUACAAUUUCGACGUGUUUAUGAUUAAGCUAUGUUGUCUACGCGUUAUAACAACUUAUACUCAACAUCUUAUAAAUUCUAAAAACAUCUUAGCAAGCUUAAAAUUAAACAAUUUAUAAGGAUAGAUUUAUAGAGCAUUUGGUAUUUAUUAAUCUAUUUUAUUACUAGUAAAUUUAAAAAUUUAACGGCUGAUUUUAAAAAGACAAAGAAAAGCUAAAAAUAGAAUUUGGAGGUAGUUGUUAGUUGUGUUGUGCUCCCUGAGUAUUCGCAGGUCCGUAAGCCGAAACGGCAAUUUCUCCAUCAUAUCCUCUUUUUUCAUUUUCAUUUCCAUUUCCACUUCCAUUUCUAUUGUCAUUCUCAACUCUUGAUCCCAAUCACACGCACUGAUACUACAAAUAAAUGAACAAGAGAUGGCAUGGGGUUGAUCAUUUUCUGUGUAAACGUUAGAUAUCAUCACUGAUUCCACUCAUCAUCACAAGGUAAUCCAAUCGGUACUCUAAUCGUAAUUUUGCACAUCAAUUGUUUGUUAGUAUGCUUCAAUGUAUAAGGAAUUACAGAUAGUUGCUUGAUUUCACAUGCAAUAUGCAAUUCGAUCGAAUUAGUUUCUUACUACCAUGAUUGCCUUAAUUAGCUGCGUUUGGUAUGAUCAGAAUCGAUCACCUUCAGUGCCUUGUUUGUAGAACAUGGAUGGAUAUAUAUAUAUAGAUCGAUCGUUUCCAGCUAAUCUUUCUUGUUUCCGUUUGGAGAUCAUCAGUUUCCUUAUUCAGCUCUCCUGAGCUUAAUUGUGAAGUAGAAGAGAAUAUGUCCAGUUUCGUGGGUGUAAUCGUCUCUGAUCCUUGGCUUCAGAGCCAAUUCACUCAAGUCGAGCUGCGAGGCCUUAAAUCUAAGGUACUAUUUCAUUCUUUUUGACAAAAUGCACACUGUUUACUCAAAAAUUAAUAUGUCUAUGUUGCAGUUUCUCUCGGCAAGGAACCAAUCUGGGAAGGUUACAUUAGCAGAUUUGCCGCCAGUAUUGGCGAAAUUGAAGGCGGUUACUGAAUUGUUAACAGAGGAUGAGGUCAGGGACAUCUUAAGGGAGGAGUCUUCUGAUUUGGACCAAGAAGUUGAUUUUGAAUCCUUCCUUAAGGUAUGUAUCUUAAUUUGAGUUUCUUGCAGAAUAGCCUUUCUUUUCCUGAUCUCAUGAUAUAUUAAUAGAGACAUGCACCUAAGGAUCACCUAUAUUUCAAAUAUGUGUAGCAUUAUUUGAACCUGCAAGCUCGGGCCUCAGCUAAAGUGGGUGGUUCUAAAACUUCCUCGUCGUUUCUCAAAGCGACUACAACUACACUACGACACACAAUUAGUGAAUCCGAGAANGUGUAAUCGUCUCUGAUCCUUGGCUUCAGAGCCAAUUCACUCAAGUCGAGCUGCGAGGCCUUAAAUCUAAGGUACUAUUUCAUUCUUUUUGACAAAAUGCACACUGUUUACUCAAAAAUUAAUAUGUCUAUGUUGCAGUUUCUCUCGGCAAGGAACCAAUCUGGGAAGGUUACAUUAGCAGAUUUGCCGCCAGUAUUGGCGAAAUUGAAGGCGGUUACUGAAUUGUUAACAGAGGAUGAGGUCAGGGACAUCUUUAAGGGAGGAGUCUUCUGAUUUUGGACCAGAAGUUGAUUUUGAAUCCUUCCUUAAGGUAUGUAUCUAAUUUUGAGUUUCUUGCAGAAUAGCCUUCUUUUUCCUGAUCUCAUGAUAUAUUAAUAGAGACAUGCACCUAAGGAUCACCUAUAUUUCAAAUAUGUGUAGCAUUAUUUGAACCUGCAAGCUCGGGCCUCAGCUAAAGUGGGUGGUUCUAAAACUUCCUCGUCGUUUACUCAAAGCGACUACAACUACACUACGACACACAAUUAGUGAAUCCGAGAAGGCCUUCCUAUGUUGCCCACAUCAACAGCUGUCUUGGAGACGAUCCAUUCUUGAAGGAUUAUCUCCCCUUAGAUCCAUCAAGCGAUGCUAUCUUCGAAUUGGCAAAGGAUGGCGUUCUUCUAUGGUACUGGCUCCCCCCAGUUUCCCUUGUCAUAUGGAAUAUCUGUAAAAUCAUAUAUGUAUGUGAACAAGAAUAAUUCUCUUGUUCUUUUCUCACCCAUGUAAUUAUUUGGUGCAGUAAACUCAUAAAUGUAGCUGUAGCUGGUACUAUAGAUGAGCGAGCCAUCAAUACUAAGAAGGUUCUAAAUCCAUGGGAGAGGAACGAGAACCAUACCCUUUGCCUCAAUUCUGCAAAGGCAAUUGGGUGCACUGUGGUCAACAUUGGCACUCAAGACCUAGUUGAAGCUAGAGUAUGCUAGUCAUUUGUGGUUUUAUCUUUCAAUUUCAAUACAUCGUAGAUAUCAUCAGCAAUGGAUCAAUUGUGAUAACUUCCUUAUUUAUUUGACAGCCUCAUCUAGUUGUUGGGUUGAUGUCCCAAAUAAUCAAGGUAAAUCAAACUCUGCAGGUCCGUAGCAUAGCAUAAGUUGAAAAUAUAGCUAACUUCUGCUUUAUCUUGUUUCUCAAACAUCAGAUACAAUUGUUAUCUGAUCUUGAUUUAAAGAAGACUCCUCAACUUGUUGAGCUGGUGGAGGAUACCAAGGUGUCAAACUCUCAAAGUUGUUUUCAUGUUAUAGCUUGUUCUCAUGGCUAAUAGCAUCUAAUGUGUACUUUUAAUUGAUCCGACACAGGAUGUAGAGGAGCUUAUGGGAUUACCUCCGGAGAAAGUUCUUCUGAAAUGGAUGAACUUUCAUCUGAAGAGAGCAGGAUUCGAGAAGCAGGUCACAAAUUUUUCCUCAGAUUUGAAGGUAAGAAGAGUACACUUUUAAAGGGUCAGUGGCUUGAAAUGUUCAAUCAGGGGCCUUUGCAGCUUUGAGAUUGUUAAAUAUGCGGCAACUUAGCACUGGACCGUCAGUACCAUAGUUUUCUGAAAAUGUAUAAAAAUUUAUGUUCAUAUGUAUGCAUGUACCUCCAGUAGAACAGGCAGGACUGUCCUUGCCCAUUGUUGAUACUACUUUGGAGUCUUCCCAUCCUGUUAGUCACUUGCAACAGAAUUGCUAUUGUUCAUAAAUAUUCAUAUUCUUCAUGAGACUGUCAAAUACGGACCGUGCCACUAUACCUUAGUUUGGGUACACAUAUAGUAAUUUGAGUUUUUUUUUGGAUAGUUGUAGUGUACAGAAAAACAAGGGCAGCUGCACUUGCAAGCACUAGGACAUCCAUAAAAUAAAUAAUAUCAUAGAAAAACAUAAGAACGUACAUAGAAACUACAAAAUCUGCACAAGAUAUAUAAGAAAGAAAAUGUACUCUCUCUGGGGCUUUUGGAUAAUUGAAGUAUGCUGAACCUACGUGUAACAAUACGUUAAGGAAGAUGAUCUUCUAGAUGUCCUAACUGAAGUCCAUCGGAGAUGGUAAUGAAGUCCUAGCUGUUUUCUCAAAAAAAAAAGACCUAGCUGAAAGAUAACUAGAUUGAACUAAUCAUGUUCAAGUUGGAACUUGAAUAGGAAUUCAAAAACUGCAAAAUGAAGUAAAACACUUACUUGAGAAAAAGACUAGGGGGCAGAAGCCUCUAAGAGCCUUAUUAGAACUCACAAAAACUUUGUCAAUUGUUUAGUCUGCAUAGCUCAAUAAACUCGUUCUAAUUGCAGGAUGGAGAAGCUUAUGCUCACUUGCUCAAUGCACUUGCCCCAGAACUUGGGACGAACACAACAUUGGAAACAACAGAUCCCACUGAAAGAGCAAAGCUGAUCAUUGAGCAAGCUGAAAAACUAGAGUGUAAAAGAUAUGUUACUCCAAAGGACAUUGUUGAGGGAUCGCCAAAUCUAAAUCUUGCAUUUGUUGCUCAAAUAUUUCAACACAGGUUAGACUACAAACAUAACCUUCCACUUCAUUUCAAUAGUAAUGUUUUUCAAUGUUAGAAGAAGAGAGCUAAGUUUCAAAAUAAUAUAUUUUUAUGAUGAAAUGCCGGUUAUAGUGGCUGUCCUUUAUACAUUUUCAUACCGUGCUUAUUUCAACGAGACAAUGACACGAGGGAAGCCUACUCCCAUUAUAUAGGAUCGAAGAUAAUUUAUCCAUUCUGGUAUAAACUGCUUAUUUCUGAUUUUAUUUUGAAGAAAGAUCAUAAAGCAUAGUGUUCGCAGUAUGCUCCUUUUGUACAAUGUCCAAGAGUCCAGUCAUACAGUUGUAGUUAUUAUUGAAUUACUGUUUCAGAAAUGGACUAUCGGUGGACCAGUCGAAGAUAUCUUUUGCUGACAUGAUGGAAGAUGAUGCUCAAACUUCACGGGAAGAGAGAUGCUUCCGGCUGUGGAUUAACAGCCUUGGGGUUGAAACCCACGUCAAUAAUUUAUUUGACGAUGUCAGGGCAGGGUGAGGGUUCCUUUUCUUUGUUUUGACAUUUGGUUUUAUGAGUUUAUUUUACUUCGGUUUGUCCUGCAUGCAGAUGGGUUCUACUCGAAGUACUUGACAAAGCUGCUCCUGGGUCUGUAAACUGGAAACAGGCUUCAAAACCUCCUAUUAAGAUGCCUUUCAAGAAACUUGAGAAUGCCAACCAAGUUGUGAGUAUUGGGAAGGAUUUGAACUUCUCCCUCGUGAAUAUAGCUGGAAAUGACAUUGUGCAGGGAAACAAGAAGCUCAUAUUAGGUAAGACUGCUCAACUUUACGUCAUGGCUAAAAGUAUAUUAUGAUUCCACCUGUUUUCAUUCAAAAUAUUAAACUUGGUUUCAUCCAUAGGUUUUAAGUGCUGUAAAAUGCAGUUUCUAUUUAUUUUAAAAUGAUUAUGGGUAGCUAUCACUACAGCUUCACUUUUCAUGCUGCAUAUGUUCAUAUCAUACUGAAUUCUUUUGACACCUGCAUGAUGUUUACUUGUCAAUAAUGCUAUCCCCAUAUGUAACUGUCACACACUUCUGAAAAAAAUGGAUUUAUUUGGUGAAAUCAUGUGAAUUUAUAAAAUACUGUAUAGAUUUUUAUUGGAAUGGCAGUGGUUGUUUCCAGUAUUAUUGGACAGUGUCAGGGAUAUUAAUCCACAUGUUAAACUACAUGCUAAACACCAGAAUUGGGCAACUAGUGGAAGAUAAUCAAUCUUCUGAACUAAUUAUCUUUUCCAUAUUCAAAUGUAAAUAAUGCAAGGGUGACAAUUUAUCGGGAGGAAAAUAAAUUUCUACAUAAGCAUCAAUUUAAAUGACUCACUGAAGGAAUAUUAUCGAGUUGAUAUAAUGAAUGGAUGGAAAAGAUUUGGGCAUGGUGAUUCCUUGACCAUAAGGUUGUGAAAAGCAUCUAAGAUGACACAGCGUCUUCUGAGGUAAGAGCUAUAUAAGUUGUGCUUAAAUACGGGAGCUGCACCACCAUCAUUUUAGCAGCUCAAAAACAUCAGCUAUAAGCCUUCAUUUACUAUACUUAUUUAUCAAGACUGCAUCCUCAGCGUGGCCCUUCCAGCUCUAACUUAGAAUUCUCCUUAGUAAGCAUGAUGACGGAGGUGGGUAAUUUUAUAAUAGAUACUAACAUUUGUGAAUGGAUAGCUGCAAAAACUCAGUAGAGGCACUGUGAUGUCUCUCAGCUUUGAUUUAUUCUGGUGAUUUGGUUUAUUCGCCUUUAAACAUCUCCAUAACUUUAUCUUUUUAUCUUUUGCAGCUUAUCUGUGGCAGUUAAUGAGAUUUAGUAUGCUCCAACUGUUGAAAAACUUGAGGCUCCAUUCCCAAGGAAAGGAAAUUGGAGAUGCUGACAUACUGAACUGGGCAAACGAAAAAGUUAAGAGAUCUGGUAGAAGUUCCCAAAUGGAAAGCUUCAAGGUAAUGUUGAAGACCUUGAUCAUGCAUUUUGUUUAUAUAUUUGAUAUUAAAUAUCUGUCUUUGUCUGGCAUUAUCAGGAUAAAAAUCUCGCAACUGGGAGAUUCUUUCUUGAACUUUUAAGUUCUGUGGAGCCAAGGGUGGUCAACUGGGCCCUAGUUACAAAGGGCACAACCGGUAUGAGAGUCCUUAUUGAACUAUACAAUCACUUCUUCUUGUCUACAGAUGGAAUGGCGUGAUUUAGGAACUUCUGUUGCAGAUAAUGAGAUCAAUGAAUCAAAUAUAUAUGCUUGGGAUGGCUGAAAUGUUAAUUGAUGUAAUUAGGAAGGGAGUUUAUUUUAGGAGCCAAAUGAAGCAAUAGCCCUAACUCCUAAUUAUAUAUGUGCAAAAAACAUUUCGGGAACUUUAUACAUUCCUCCUGCCUUAACCAUUCUCUGAAAUCGUAAUUAACUUGCGUCAAUUUUCUCUCUACUUUUGUUUAUUGUGUCUGAUUGUGCCUCUCAACAUGACCUGGUUUAAUAUUUUUUUGGAACUGAAAUUGAAUUUAAUUGUAAAUGCAGAUGAAGAUAAGAAAUCAAAUGCAACAUAUAUAAUCAGCGUUGCACGGAAGCUUGGAUGCUCCAUAUUCUUAUUGCCUGAGGAUAUAAUUGAGGUACAUUCACCAAUUGCAUUUAAUUUAUGACUUUUCUAAUAUCCUGGUAGUUUCUGGGCUUUGUCAUUGCGGAAAUUUAGGAUGUGCGCAUUCCAGUAUUAACUCAGUUUGCUUGGCCUAUAUUCUGAUAGUAAACUAGUUAUCUACUAGUUAGUUUACCAUCUCACAAGUAACACUUGAAAAAGAUAUUAUUUCUGGCCUUGAUUUUGGAACGAUCUUUAUGCAUAAAUAAGCACACAACAUAUCCAAUAUUAUGAAAAAGUCACAUCCUUUUCUGUUGCAACUGAUGGUGUCAGGUGAACCAGAAGAUGAUGCUGACCUUGACAGCGAGCAUCAUGUACUGGAGCCUGCAGAAGAAGACGGGAGGAGAUACUGAGCCGCCGUCUCCCAGUCAGAGAAAUGAGCCGCCGUCUCCUAGUCAGAGAAAUGAGCCGCCGUCUCCUAGUCAGCGAACUGAGCCCCCGUCUCCUAGUCUGCGAACUGAGCCCCCGUCUCCUAGUCUGCGCAAUAACCAACCACCACCAUCUCCGAGAGGUGGUGAUGUCUAGUUUGUGGACUGAUGCUGCUGCUGCAUCAAGUACUGACGUUCUCCAAGAAGUUCAACUGAUCUAGCACAUUAGAAAUUUCUUUGGAGUGGAGAGUUGAGAUUUAGGUUCUGGUAGGUAAAUUCAUGAUAGAGUAAGCAAGAAGGAAGGAGACAGAGAGAAAUACAGUUCCUUUAAGUUUAAUUUCCAGUAGAAAGCAGCUGCAUUGUUUGGAUGCAGUUGAAGUGGGGAAACAGUUUUGUAUGUCACAUUCAUGUUGUUAUAAUGCAAAGUUAUGGCUGCCUUGAGCACUGAUUUUCAUAUAUAUAAAAAUAUGUUUGGUUUUUCAUUGUCAUUAUAUAAAAGUAGAUACAUAAAGAUUUUAGAGUGGCUUGGUAGAUUACUAAGUAGAAGCAGGUGUGUUUCUCUUUGAUCUUCCUCCGCCAAACAGGGUGAGCCGCCGGAGUAUUCUAUUUGCGUAUUUUCUGUGCGAAGCAAAACUGAGACUUGGUAUGCAGCUGGCUGGAACUGACUUGUGAUGAUUUAUCCUUUGUUGCAGGUGGAGGGUCCUCUUGAGGGACAUGAGCUCUUUCUCAAGAUUCUCAAUUCUGAAGCUGGUGGACUCGUAGUCGUAGUCGUAGUCGUUCGUGUGCAAGUGCUGCACGAAGAGAGCCUGCACCAUGAGCCGCAGCGGCAUCACCUCAUUUCUGAUGGCUUCAAUGCAGACCGGCAGGGACAGUUUGUGGCAGUCGAGAUAUUUGCAGAGCGAGGCUUUCUCGUCCUGCGACAAGCUGGGGUGGGAGUGGAAGAAGACGUUGAGCGCCGCGUAGAGGUAAUCGUGUGUGUGCCUGCUGGAAUGGGGAAUAACUGUUUGGAUGAGAGCUAUGAAUGUGGUGCAGGGCAAGUGAGGAUCAGCAGCUAUCUGAGUUAGGUAGCAGUCCCAUAACUGCGCAACGGCAGGAGAGCUGGUGUCCGAGUCCAUGAAUAUCCUCUCCACCACUGACAACUCGAUGCCAGCCAGAUCCCUCGGCUGAGCCAGAUGAAGCAUCGAUGCAAUCUUCUUCUCCACGCUCUCGUUCCUCAGACCCCCGGAGGCGGCCAGCAACGACAAGUAGAACCCCACGGGGAUCACUCUGCUGCCCCUCUCCGGCAGCAAGUCAGCAAGAGCUGAUGAUGAUGAUGAAUAUCUGUGGGCGUACAAGAGUAUGAUGGUGCUCACAUACUUCUCCUUCAUCCCCUGCCGCCUCAGAGAUGCAAUGACCCUCUUGAAGAAGGCGAGGGGCAGGGCGACCACGUCCCGCAUCCACACAUCUCUGCUCAUCACGUCUCCCACCACGGCAUCGCUCCACGGCCAACACGCCUGCAGCUGCAGCUGCAGAGCCUGCCCCGGCCUCCUCUCGGGGUCGAGAAUCUCCAUGCACGCCAUGAAGGCAAGAGUCUCGAUGCAGCGGGUGACGAGGAGCACGUCCUCCGCCCAGGGAAGCAAUGUCCCUCGGCAGCUCUGCAGCACCAUCACAGUCUCCUUCCAGCUCUGCAGGACCACCUGGUUGAGAUACAUGUCCAGCCCUUGGCAGUGGAUCGGCAUCUCCAAAAACUCCGCCGCGCAUCUCAGAGCCGCCACGUUGGCCGCUUCUACUAAUGCGCCGUAGCCGUACAUCAAGAGCGCCACCAUCUCGAAGGCCUCCGCUCCGCCCGGGAAAUCCGGUGGGAGCUCCACUUCCGUUGUCUCCUCGUCUUUCAGCUUCUCCCUCAAAUACCCGCUCUUGCGUCUCAGUGGGACCUGCCAAAUGCUCAAUCCGUCCCAUAAAAACAUGCAUAGUUUUUUUUUCGUUCGUCCCAUAAAAACAUGCAUACUCCAUUUAUAAUAAUAAUUCUUCCACUAAACAUCACAAUCAAUGUAGGCCAAUUUUAAAAAACGUGUCGUCUCAUAACCAGGGACGGAGCCGGGGGGGGCUAGAGCCCCCUCCCAAAUUUUGAGUUUUUUUUUAAUUUUAAAAUAUAUAUAGAUAUAUGUUUAUACCUAUUAUAAAAUAAUUUUGUUUUAUAAAAGAGUAUUUGGUUAUUAUAUUCUCUCAUAUAUAUACUUAAUUUAAGGAUAAUUCUGUUAUUUAAAACUAUAUAAUCUAUGAAAUAUUGUUUGUUAUUAUUACUAUUAUACUUGUCUUUUAAUAAAAAANUGCCUAAUAUGUAUGAAAUGCUAAAAAAAAUUAUAAUGUAUUGAAACUAAUUUGUAAUAUAUAGAAAAUAUAUAAUCUAUGAACAUGUUGUUUGUUAUUAUUAUUAUUAUGCUUGCCUUUUAAUAAAAAAUGUCUUAAAUAUACGGAAUGUCCAAAAAAAGUUUUGAGAUAUAUUGAAACUAUAUAAUCUAUGAAAAUAUUGUUCGUUAUUAUUAGUAUUAUGCUCGUAUUUUAAUAAAAAAAUACCUUAAAUAUACAGAAUGCCCAAAAAAAAUUUCGGGGUUCAGCCCCCCGAACUUAAUUUCUGGCUCCGUCCCUGCUCAUAACUAUGCAUGUUUUUAUGAGAUGGAGGGAGUAUAUAAUUCUCAACCAUAUGUAUAUGAUGAAAGAAACUAAUUAAGUACCUUGUGCAGGUUGAAGCUUCUGUCGGCAAUCCGAACACGAAUGCCCACAGGAAACCCAGUUUCUUGGCUCCUGACAAAUGAACACAAUGUUUUGCAAUAAGCUCAACAAUGCAUUUUCAACAAGCUAAUUGGAGAAAGAGGCCAACCAUGAAAGAACCUUGAUCUUGAGCAAGGCAGCAACGUUCAUGUCUCUCACUAAUUAACAUAUACAAAUGUCAGAGAAUGUAAGUGAUAUCUAGCUAUAUCUUCCUUGUUUUAUUUAAUCAUCAUCUUGCAUGGGGAUAGAGGUUUGAACUAACUUUUUUUCUUAAAAGAGGUGCAGAUUUAAAAAAUAAUUAGAUUUGGCAGCCGAGAUUUAAGGCUUAAAAUAGGGUUCUCGAACGUUAAAGAGGAGGCAAUACAAUACAAGUGCGGAACAAGUUAUUGUUCCAAUCCAAGGCGGCACGCCGCCUGCUUCACUUCUCCCAACUACAAUUUAUAUUUCUUUAUUUAACAUGUAUUUGCUUAUCUAUAUUUUCUUUUUUGAGUUAACUUAAUUUAUCUUUUCUUUUAUAAUCACUUUACAUUAAAUUAAAUAUGAAUUCACGCAUUUUUACAUCACAAAAACUUGGGUACAACUGAGUGUACCGUAUAACCAAAUUAACAUGCAUCCACACCCUAACCUGCAUCCUUAUUCGAACCCGUAUCCUACCCAAAUCGUGUAAAUGACAUUAUUCGAUUAUACAAAGGACACUGCCUAUAAUUGUUAUUAUUCGGUUAUAUAAAUGACAUUGUAACAUUUUAAAAUGUUAUAGUGUCAUUUUUAAUCUUAUAGUAUCAUUUAAAAUAUUAUAGUGUCAAUUACAGAAGGUGUCAUUUAUAUUUCUGAAUAGUAUCAAUUAUACAUAGUGUCAUUUGUAUUACAGAAUGGUGUCAAUUACAAACAAGUGUCAUUUGUAUAAUCUAAUAGUGUCAUUUACACGACUUGGGUUAGGAUGCAGGUUCGGAUCAGGAUGCGGAUCAACCCGGUUGUACGGUACACCCGAUUUGUAUCCAAUACCUCCUCUGUUCACAUUAUAAUUAUACUCUCCUAAAGAAUCGUCUUGAAAAGAGAUAUGCCAAGUUGAUAUAUUAUAAAUCUCUAAAUAAAUGAUUAAUAUAUAUAUAUAUAUAUAUGAGAAUCAUUUACUAUUUAUGUUUAGUAAAUGUAAGAGCACCCGCAUCGCGGGUGCUCGAGUGAGUACUCGAACUCACUCGAGGAGAGGAGUGGCUUCGAGGAGUGCAAUGCAGGGGGGAGGUCCUCGAGGAGUACCCGAGUUAUCGGGUAUCCUCGAGUGAUUUUCUNNUUUUUUUUUCUUUUUUUUUUAAUUUUCUUCUUCUCUUUAAAAAUUUCUCUCUCCUCUUUAAAAACUAAAAAAAUCAAGUAGGCUAUCAAGGAACCCCAAUGCAGCACUACCUCCUCAAUAACACAACCACUAUCAAAUAGGCUAUCAAGUAGGCUAUCAAGGAACCCCCAAUGCGGAUGCUCUAAGCAUCAAAGAUGGACAAAUGGUAGUGAUAAUGAUGGUUGUGCAUCUAUCGAUCUCUUUGGAGAUAUAUUGCUUAAGUCAUAUGAAGUUCUAAUAAGAGACAUUGUUUCAAGCACUUACACAUCCUACUCCAACAACAUCCACGUUAAGUUUUAUUUGAAAGAACGGGUAAAAGUUGCUCCUACCCACAUAUUAUAUGACAUAAAAAUUUUGAUACACAUAUAAUAUUAAUAAAUAAUUAAAUUUUGAAUAUAAAAAAUAUUUUAAAAUAAUGUCUCACGUGCAUCGCAUGAACGCAAAACUAGUUAUCUAUAAAUGCGCAAAGUAUACAUAAAUUUUUAUUUUUAAUCAAUACUUUUUGUCAAUUUAUAGAACUUUUAAUUUUUUUUAGAAUUCAACCUGAAUUAGAAAAUUAUGAUCGCACUUAAUCAUACGUGAAAGCCAAAAUUUAACUGAAAUUGUCACAUGUCCAAACACAUAUUCUCGCAACAGAUAAAGUAAAUAUGUAUGAUGAUACAAAUAUCACAUAAUAUAUUAAAACAGUAAAGAAUAGUACGCCAAAAAUGAUUACCCAAUUCGGUGAUAAAACACCGUCUAGGAGGUCUUGCCCAGGGAAAACGAUCAACUAUUUGGAGUUAAGAUACAGAUGGACUUACAAUAAGACUCGAUCUUACUUAGCCACUAUAUUUUUUUCAAAAUCUUAUCAACGGUGAAAAUUGGAAGCAAAACAAUAACUAACUUCCUAGGCGUGAACUCAGCUCGUUCACCACCUAAUCCCUCACAAAGAUUUCACGAAUUGCUUAGUGAAAAAAAAAAACAAUUCAUGAACCACAUGUACACAAUUGCUUGCAAGACUUAAAGAAGUGAUUUCACAAGAUCACACAAGACGCAAAGUAUGACCUAACAAAACCCAUGAAAUAUUCUAAAACUAAAAAAGAUAAUAAAAGCAGCAAGCGAUUUAUGUUCUUCUAUUCGCUUCAUACAUAUGAAGUAUAUAGAUUUCCAGCUCGAUAAAAACUCUUCCAGGAUAAUAAUGAUUGAAUUAUUCCCCUGAUAAUUAUCAUUCAAAAAUAUAGAGGUCAUUUGUAUGUUGCUGAUCAGAUUCACAUGAUAAGGUAAUUAGGGCUAAGCAUUCGGGUGAUUCAGGUCAAAAUCGAACCCGAACAGUCCAUAAACUUUGAAACCGAAUCAAACCAUUUGAUGGCCAAUCGAACCAUAAAUUUUUGGUUCAGUUUGGCAUAAACCGUUUCAUUUUUCUAUUUAUUUAAAAAUAUAUAUUUAAUAAUAUAUUAAUAAUAUUUAAUCCUAGACGAUAAAAUUAAAAUUUUGAUAUGUAUAAAGUACUAAAGUGUUAAACCCUUAAAAUCUAAAUUUAAUUUUUUAAUUAUUUAAUAAUUAUUUAUUAAAAUAUAUAUACUCCCUCCGUCCCAGGCGAAUAGGCCCAGUUCUUUUCGGCACGGAGAUUAAGAAAGUCACUUUUUGGUAGGUAAAUGGUAUUGUCCACCAACAAUUAAUGUUUUAAGUGUUCUAUUAUUUUCCUUAAUCACAUUUAUUCACUUAAACGAAUUCAGCAACAAUCAAAUGCUGCUUAAACAGGAAAAAAAACUGGUUUGAGUUUUAUAAUUAUCUUUUUUACCUCUCUUUCAGUUCAACAGCCACUGCGUAUGAUUUGAAAGAAUCAUACAAAUUGAACACAGUAAGAAGCAAAGCAAGAUAGAUAACAGAUCCAAAACCAAUCAGAACGGAAAAACUCCAAAUAUUUUUAUAAUCCAUGAGAAACUAUAGCUGCUGCAGAAAUCUAAGAGUAAGAAUCUGAUAGAGAAAACAAAAAUCCAAAAAUCAAGAACAAAAAUUCCCUUAUUUCAUUCUUCUUCAACUUUCAGAACUGAGAAUGAAGAACCCUAAAUCAAGAUCUGCAAAUGAAGAACCCUAAAUCAAGAACUGAGAAAUCAAACUUUCAGAAACUUUUACCAAAUCAAGAACUUAGAGGCGGCGGUGGGGCUCCGAACCGUCCACCGACGAAGGAUAGGCGGCGAUGGCACAGCAGGGGCUGUAGUCUUGAGGCAGCGGCGGAUCUGUGUGGCCGGUGCUCUGAGAGUCAGCGGCGCCGCUCGUCGUUGAGAGAGAGAGAAGGGGGAGGGGGUGGCGGUGACGGAAAUGACGAAGGGGAAGGUUUCCUGUCGAGAGAGAGAGGGGAAAAAUCUGGGACGAAAAUUUCUUGAAUGAGUAGAUUAGGGUUCAUUAAGGGGGUAUAUCCCCUUUAAUUAAGUAACUAUUAAUUUUUAUUAAAGCCCUAAUUAUUUCCAAUUUUAGACUGGGCCUAUUGGAGUGGGACGUCCCAAAAAGAAAAACGAGCCUAUUGAGUGGGACGGAGGGAGUAUUUAAUAAUUUAUUAAUAAUAUUUAAUUCAGGCGGAUUCGAGUUGAAAACUGCACCGUUUUUUAAAACCCGAACCCAAACCGAAACUAUUGGAUUUUUUUAAUUUCAAAUCGAACCGCACCAUUUCAUACAUAAAAAUCAAACCAAACCGCGCGUCAUUUUUAGUUUGGCGGUUUCGGUUUAGUUUUGCUCAGCCCUAGAUAAGGUAAACUGUUGAAGUAGAUCUAAUGUGUAAUUUUAUUUGAAUAAGAAGUCUUUUGCUUAUCCAAAAGGUAAUCACAUAUAUCAUGUCAUAUAUGUAACUAACUUCAUAGCUAGGUAUAAUAUACAUAAUGACAAAUAUAUACAAGAGUAUUCAUACUCUAACGUUAACCAAUGUGACAUUAAUUAAUUUGUAGCUACUAUACGCAAAUUGAAAGUAAGCCAAUCAAAUUAAUUUCGAUUUUCACAUGAGAUUAAAUGUAACCGAAGGUUUAUGGUUGUCAAAAUUGCGAGGAAGGUAAUUUAUUUUAAAUAUUCAUAAUUUGAGAGUACUUGCAUUCAUUUAAAAGUUACUCCAUCCGUCCACGAAAUGAGUACUCAUUUGUGGACGACACGGGUUUUAAAAAAUGUAUUGAAUAUGAUGGUAGUGGAAUAAGAGUCCCACUUUUUUAGAGUAUUAAUUAAAGAAUUGUGUGAGUACACUUACUAAAAAAGGAAAUGGAUACUCAUUUCGUGGACGAACUAAAAGGAAAAUAUGGGUACUUAUUUCGUGGACGGAUGGAGUAUUAGUUAGUGUACUUUGGCUUCAUAUUGACAAUUGUGAAUAUUUUGAGUGAUAUGAUGAACUAAUAAAGAAUGAGAAAAAGAAACUUUUGACUAAAUAUAACAAACGAAGACCAGAAGAGAAAUUGUGAAAUGCUUAUGCAAUGGAAUUACUGAAAUUAUGUAAAAAAAAAAUGUAUUCUUUUAAAGGAUAUGUUAAAAAAAGUCCGUUAGUUGAGCGUGUAAAUCAUCAUCCGAAAUUAAAAACAUAAAAGUAUUUUCACAAAAAAAAAAAAGAAGAAAAAACAUAAAAGUAUGAGUGUCCAAAAUAAUACAGUACGUUAAUAUUAUUAGGGGGGUUAUUUCAGUAUGAUGUUUGAACCUCACCUAUAUAUUUAAUUUUUGUAUGCUACGGUUAUUUCAGUAUGGUCACAAAUUAACAAAAAAAUAUUUCCGAACUCCCCCUCGUUUAUCUCAUUAAAAUUUAGACUUAUAUAUGGACCUAAUAAAAAAAUUAAUUACGUCUCUAAGAAACACCAAAUGAUGCAGACUUCCGUCUAUAAAUAACUAAGUCUAGAUUUACACAUAAUAGAACCAACUAAUCAAUUAACUUAAUUAAUUGAUAUAUAAGUUAAUUUGGUAAAUUAAGGAAAAGGAUACGAAGGAUGAAAAUCACGAGAUAAUAACCAACUGUAGGUUAAAAUCUACGUCAUUCGCGGUUUACAUGCUCUCUCUAUAUAUAUAUAUAUAAUCAUCUUCUAGAUUUUAUUUUUAUAUUUUAUUCUUUUAGUUUGGACACUUAACCACUCUAGCUUUUUUUUUUUAAACCUUAACCACUCUAGCUUUGAGAUUUCUUAUACUCAUAAAUUUCCAAUUGUAAAAUUAUUAUUUUAAUCCUAAUGUGCUCGUAAUUAAUACUAAUAGCCAAGUCCUACCGCGUAGGAGUUAACGAUGCAGUGACUUAUAUCGUGAAUUUCAUUCUUGAUAUCCUUUUCUUUAAUUAGUUAAGUUUGUUGUAUUUAAUUAAUUUCAUCGUUAUUAAGGGGCAAAGUUGAGACACUAAAUUGGUUCAAGGCUUCAAGUCGAUGCCGUCACGGUGCGUGGAUUAUAUUUUGAAUGUUGGGAUAUACUCCAUUUGUUUGAAUAUUUGAUCAAAUUUAUAAUAUCAUAAUUGUCAUUGAAUUAAUUUAAGUGUAAUAUAUAGGUGUAAUUAGAUGAAUGAAUUAAUUCAUUAACCAACCGGAUCCACAUUAAUUAUAUAUAGAUGGAUCCAUAUAUGAAAAUUGCAGGAAAACAAUUCAGAUAAUUAUCCCGUUAAAAUAAAAUAAUUUUAACGGGAUUUUAUCAUAUCUAUCAAUCAAGGUAUAUCCUUAUUUUUUACGUUGAAUGUUAAACAAGAAAAUUGCAUGUCACAUUGUAUUAAACAUGCAUAUUAUUGAAUGAAAAUAUAUAAAGUAAAUUUAUGGAUAUGCGCUUUUACGAUAAUGCCCAUCAGAUUUAGAAAAUGAAAAAGCGAAAUUUGAGUGAAAUGUAUUUAAAUUGUCCCAAAUACAUAAGAUACGCAUAAGAUAUGUUAUGCAAAUUCAAUCCUAUAUAUAUACGAUGUAGGUAGAUAUUUAAUUGUAUUUUAAUUCGAGAGUGCAUGCAUGCCUCGGAUUAAUGUUUAACUACAUACUAGCUAUAGCUAGUGGGCUCAUAGUGUUCGAAAUAUCGAAUGCAAGUGUAAUUGAUUGGAUUGCUUUAUCCUGUGAAUGUUGAAAAAUUGCAAAUUAAUGUUUGCACAAUGUGUUAUUAUUGCAUUGAGAAUUUACAUAAAGAAAUAAUUUGCACAACUACAAUUAAACAUAUAUACACUAUAUAUAUAUGACGCAAUUGUACAAGUGUACAACCUUCACACUUAAACAUAUAUACAGGGAUGUGCUAAAAUAAAAUAUAAGAACUAUUUUCAACCCUUAGAUUAUCCCGAGUUCGAAUACCGUAGGUAGCAAAAAAAUUAUUUUUCGCAAUUUAUACAUUUACACGACGAAUUCAUACGUGUUCUACAUAGAAUUCAUACAUUUUAGGUAGUUCUUAUUUUAUAUGUUAAGAAGUGUUUAUACCGUAGCUUUCCCAUAUAUAUAUGGAUGAGUUAUAUUGAAAAUGCUAUUUUUCGUGAGAAAUGAGAAUGAUUGCAUAAGCCAGUAUAUAGUGUUUUAUAAGCUACAAUAUAAUACUGCAUAAAUUUUUUAGCUAGGUUCGAAUCCUAGAAGGAGCGAAAAUUUUAUCUAAUUAAUUGAAUUUCAUUAUGUAGUCAUUAUAAACAACUUAUGCAAAUUACAAGCAUUUUAUACAUUAUAUAUACUGGCUUAUGCAAUCAUUCUCCAUUCUCACCACAUUUGUUCAUUCUCGUUUGAUCUUUUAUAUAUAUAGGGUCAAGUUAAACAGAGAAUUAUUAUAUAUUUCAUUUUGAACAAAUCUAUACAUUUUACGAACAGAUCAACAUAACUAACGAACAUACGUAUUUAGUAAAAAAAGAGAAAAACUCGCCACCAGCAGGAUUCGAACCCGGGGCAAAUUACUGUUCAUGCUAUAUAUAGAUUUGUUCGUAAAAAUUGUAGAUCUGUUCGUUUUUAUUUCACGAAUUCUCUAUUCUCUAAAUAUUUAGCAUUCUCUGUUUAACUUUUCUAUAUAUAUAUAUAUAUAUAUAUAUAUAUAUAUAGUAAUAUGUGUGUGUGUGUGUGUGUGUGUGUGUGUGUGUUUUUCCUUAAAAAGAAAUGAGUUGAAUAAGGACUUCAUUAAUUGCCAUUAAUUAGUGAAAAUGAUUCGAUGAAUUUUCAGGGAAAAAAAAAGAAAAAGAAAAACAAUUUGGUGAAAAUCUAAAUAGGAAAUUAAAUCACUAUUAAAAUAUAAAUCUUGUUGCAUACUACUCGCUUAACAUAAAAACAGUCACGAAUAUGUUGUGGUAUGGAAAAAUGGGAGCUUGGAGUUGGGGGCGUGGAAUGAAAUGCAGCAUGAGUAAAAAUAUGUCACAAAAAUGCUUAGAACCUUCAACUAUUUUCCAUUUAAUCUCUUAUACCACAUAGUUGACAUCAAUAUUUGAUGACGGGCAUUUACUAUUCAAGAUUAAUAGUAAUAUAUAUGAUUUGAUAUUUUUAUCUUCAAUAUCAUAAUUUCUUCAAUACUAUCCUUAAAUUGGAUAUGAAUCAUUCAAACAUGUUAGCUCAAAUUAUAAAAAUGAUUAAAUAUCUUAAUUAGAUAUUAUAAAAUUUAAAUACAUCUUCAUAAAAUAAAUUAAUUGACCUACAUAUGCUAUUUAUAUAUAUAUAGAUAUCGAUAUAGAUAUAGAUAUAAAUUAAUCAUCUAUAAUAAACGUACCUAAAUGUUAGAAGUAUACCGACCUAGUGUAGCACUUGUCUAUUAUUCGUGAUUGCCCAAAAUAGUCAUUAAUAGAGAAACAUAUAGUUGGCCGAAUCAUAAAAUACAAAACCCCACCAUCAUGACGUACGUACAUCAUAUCGAUCACGAUUUAAAUAAAAACUAGUGUCCAAUCCGUCGAAAUUCGAUGGAGUAUUAUUUUUAUUACUAUAGCAUAUGAAAUAGUUUAUAUAUAAAUUAUUUCUUCAAUUAAUUUGAUAUGAUCAAAUUAAAUUAAAUUAGUAUUACAAUAUUUAAAAUAAUAUUAAUCUUAAUCACUUUCGCCAAUUAAAUAUAGGUUGUGAUAAUAGAAAUAUAUUUUUAUAUAAAUAUUCAUUUGAUGAAGUUUAUAAAAAGUUGAUGUGGGAUUGAAUAUUUUAAAAAAUAUAUAUAUGUAAAUUUAAAGUAUGAUAUGAUGUACGAUUGAUGUGUCGCAUCUGCUAUUAAUCGUAUAUCGAUAAUAUUUACUCUUUCUGUCCCUCAAACAUUUUCAUUUUUUUAUAUUUUGGUUCGUCCCCAAAACGUCUUCCGAAUCUAUUUUUAGAAAUAAUUUCACUAAUUAUUAUUCUUACAAUUUCACUUUUUGUGGGACUCGUUCUCCACUUUCACUAACUAUCACUCUUACAAUUUCACUUUUUGUGGGACCAAUAUACUAUGAUUUAUUUUGCUAUUAUAUAAAUAUAUAUAUAUAUAUAUAUAUAUAUAUAUAUAUAUAUUAUUAGUUAGNAGUAAAAGUAAAUUAUAUAUAUAUAUAUAUAUAUAUAUAUAUAUAUAUAGAUUGGGGCAUAGGCAUGUAUUUAUUUAUUUAUAACAUUUAGUUGAAGAAUAUUCUUUUCUAAAAAAUGAAUUGACAUUUGAAUUGAUUGCUUUUUGUGGAUUAAUUUAUUGAUAUACUUUAUUUAAGUUUUAGUCACACUUGGAACAAUCUCAAUUAAGUAGGUAUAAGGAUUCCUAUUCUGGAUGCCAUCAUUUUAUUAAGUUAAAUUUUUUGGGUGAAAAAAAGAUGGAUUGUGAGGCAUGUUGAGUUCUUGUUGGUUAUUGAGUUUAUAUAUAUAAGAAAAGUUGGUAUGAGGUUAAGAGGGAUUUCAGGCGUUUGAAAACAGACGAAUGGACCCUCGAAGUGCUAAUGUGUUUUAAUUUGUUGUAAAAAUAAUUAGAAAUAUAUAAAUAAAUAAGAAUGAAUGAGAAUUGAGGAAAAUUAUAAUGGAGUGAUUAUACAAUGUCACGUAGGAUAAGAUUUAUUUUGCUAUAAUAUAUGUAGGAUAGGAUUUAUAAUUAAAUGGAUAUAUUGGAUUUAUCUAAUAGUUUUAUAUAAUUAUUUAAUAGUACAAACUUUAUCUAAUAGUUUUAUACGAUUAUUUAAUUAAUAGUAUAGAAUUUAUCUAUAAAUUUAUAUAAUUAUUUAAUAUAUAGUUUUUAAAUAUAAAAAUUGAUUAGAAAUAUAUAAAUAAAUAAGAAUGAAUGAAUGAGAAUUGAGGAAAAUUAGAAUGACGUAAUUAUACGAUGCCACGUAGAAUAGAAUUUAUUUUGUUAUAAUGUAAAAAUUGAUGAGCAUUAAGCAAAUCAUCAUAUAUCAAUACAAUCUAUAUGUAUAUUAUUAGCUGUAAAGAUAUGAAACGAGAGUGCUAAAAACUUUCCAAAUGUUCUCAUAGCAAUAUAAUUCCAAAAUGGGAUUCCCCACAAAACAAAAAAUUUGACUGAUGCUUGAUGUGCCAUAUGGCAUAUAUUUCUCUUCAUAUUAUAAAAGUCAUGAUAACUACUCAAUUAAUAUUCUUUAUGUCAUGACAAUGAAAAGAAGACGGGACAAGAAGAUAACAUCAAUGAUUUUAUUUUUAUUUUUAUUUUUUUAAAAAGAGAAAAUCAUAGCAUGUGUGUGUGAUGAAACCUAUCUAUCUAUAUAAUAUAACCACUCAAGAACAUAGCCGCCCAUGCCCUAAAAAGUUGUUUCCAGAUGUAUGGAUCAGUUAGGGCAAAAUUUCGUGAUUCUUGUGCUCUCUUAUUUUUUUUAAGUAGAAGAAAAAAAAAAAAAACUUAAUUUUUGGGUUCUUUUUUGACUAUAUAGUUUUGCUUUUCUGGUAGGGAUGAUUAUCAUGUGGGCUCGACCAUUUGAGUGGAAAAGUAAUACAUGGUUUUCUUGGAUUAGGUAUUGGAACUUUUGAGGCUUUCAUUUGGUUGAUAUGAUUCUUUGAUGUGUUACAUCAAAUAAAUUACAAGAAAAAACACAUAAACAUGCAUGGUAUUCGCAAUUACUUAAAAUCGUCAAAAUCUCAUUUUUAAUGUUCCACUUGAAAUUAAUACUCCCUUUCCUUUACCCCAGUUAACCGAUCAAUUUCUUUUGGGCGCAAAAUUUAAGAAAUUAAUAUUUUAAGUAUAUUUAAAAUCAAUAACAAAGUUAAUACUAAGUGAUUAGAUGUAUUUCUUUGCGGGUUGGUCUUGUGUGCAGUUGACCGCACCCCAUGUGGUAGGUUACUUUUAAUAAGCAUAAGAUAUACAUUUGUUCGUACAAAUAUAUACUUAUGUAAUAGUAUAAGUUAUCAUGAAUAAAAGUAUCAAUUAUCGUGAAUAAAUAUAAUAAUUUAGAAAUAUUAUAUUUCAUUGUAACAAUAAUUACUUUUUAUUACGACAAUAAUUACUCGACCAAAUAGUUAAGAAUAAAAGUAUUAAUGAGUGAAAAUAACUAAAAGUAAAAGUUCUUAUGAAUAAAAAUAAACAUUGUUGUGAAGAAAUGUCUAAAUACUUAUGAAAUGUCUAAAAAUAAAAGUAAAAGUAUUUAAUUUAAGAUACCGUUUUUUCUUCAAAAAAGCAAAAAAAUUAACUGAUUCAUAACAACUUGUUUAUUGUCUAAAUACUUAUGAAAUGCAAUAAUACGCGAAUAUUGAGUACUCUUUGAUUGAAUUUAGUACACAAUAUCAAUUAAAUAUUUGAUUUGUAUUUAUUAGGUAAGGAAGUUCUAAAUAUUGAAUUUACUAGAACUCCUUUUUAGAAAAAACAAAGACCCGAAUUAUUACAUAGUUUUUUCAAUACUUAUUGCAAAAAUUGAGGGCAGAAAUAUUUGUUAAAAGAAAAAAAAUUAAAAUCCAGAGUUUCAAAUAAUUGAGUUUGAGACCUUUUCUACUCAAAUGUGGGAUGGGGCUGAAUUGAAAUUAGAAAUAAAAUAUUUGGAAUAUCAAUCUCAGAACUACUUUAUUUUUUUCUUGAUAAAUAAUUUUCUUAUGGUAGUCAUAGCAAAACUCACGUCUACAAAACAUAACAUAAUUGAGACAUAGUUGAGCCGACACGUACGUGUUACUCAACAAUAACAAUCAACAAAGAAAACCAAAAAUCAAACGUUUAAUUAAUACUAAUAUCCACUAUCACACGUCAACUCAUACUUACUUUUCCAAAUUAAAUUUCUAAAGUUGAAGGAGACAGCUUCGGAGAGAUGAAUAACAAUCCCGAAUUCGCAAUUCACACGUCCAAAUUGACGUUUAGAAAUUGGAGUUUGUGUCGAACACGUCCAAACUUUGGUCUAAAUUUAUGGAUAAAAGGGUUUGAAGAAUUAAUCCCAUACUUGACGUUUGACUUUGAUAUUUUUUUUUACCGCAAUUUUCAUUGUGCCUAAAAGUUGUUAUGAAAUCUAAAGGUAUAUUAGGGUGAAGAAUACAGGAUAUCGCAAGUUACAUAUAACGGAAUAAUUUAAAGAGAAAAUAGAGAGAUUUGAUGAGGAAGGGGCCGUAGAUUUGACAGGCUUAUGAAUUAUUUUUGAAUAGGUAACAAUCAUCAUAUUUGCCAAAAUUACAUUUUAUUAGAGUCGACCUCAAUUAAUUUCUGAUAGUAGAAGAGUUUGAGCAAAUGGAAUCGAGUAGAGCCCACCAAAGUACUAUGUUUAUAACUCCUAUUCUAUUACAUUAGAAGUGGGCGGUUUAAUGGGCCAUUUAAGAAACCCAAGCCUGACCAAAAGAUUAGUCAACCAAAGUUGAACUGUUUAUUACAUUUUUUUUAUUAUAAAUUUAAUCUUGUAAAUUUUUUUGUAGUAUAAUCUCAUUUGGAAAUUUACAAGAAUUACUUGUUUGAGAAGUUUGUAAACUUGCAACUAAUUGUAUUGUAUAAAGCAAGAAGGUCGUAUACCAAAUUACCAGAAAAUUUCUAUACUCUCAUCACCUCGUACAAAUGAGUUUCUCAUGGUCCAAAGGAUGGACAUAUAUGUAUGGAAUUUCGCAAUAAAAAAAGUUGAACUAAAAAGGGGUUAUGGUAAAAAAAAUACACAAACUUUGAAAAAAGUUACAAUUUUCAUCUGAACUUUCAAUUAAGCCAAAAUAUAAAUAAAUUUAUAUUUUUGUUGCAAUUUUCACCUUAGUUUGAAUUUCAGCGAAAUUAGAGCUUAAUUGAUAGUUAGAACUUUAACUGAUUUUGAUCUAAUUUCUGAUGAUGAUGAGUAUUUAUAAGCUCGGAGGUCUAAGAAAGCAAAACUUAAUACAUUUGACUUAAUUUCGACUGUCAAUUAAGCUUCAAUUUUGUAGAAAGUCAAACUUAGGUGAAAAUUACAACAAAAAUAUAAAUUCAUGUAUUUUUUGACUUAAUUAAAAGUUCAUGUGAAAAUUGCAACUUUUUUUAAAAUUAAUAUAUUUUUUUGCCAUAAACCCAACUAAAAAAAGUUCAAAUUACUCAUUUUAUGAACUUUGCUAAUAGCAACAGCAGAUACUAUAGAUGUGUGAUAAAACAAGAUACUGAACCAAAUCAACAGAUUUCAAAUGCAAGUAAGAACAUCCACAUUGGGGUUACAUGAUAGCCUACAUGAUUUUUUUAGUUUUGAUUUUUCCAUUUUUCAUUUAAGUUUAAUUGCAUAAAUUUAAAUAACACAAUUUACUUCAAAUUUAAAUUGCAUUAAUUUUGAAAUCCUAAAAAUUACAUAAAACUUAAUAAAAUCAAAAUAAAUCCUAAAAAUAACUAUUCCGGCCCUAGAGGUCCGAAACGUGCCCAAACAUGCUCCAUCAAAUCACGUUGGAGCGCAGUGUGCAACUGCCUAUCUCGGAAAAUAAUAUCUCUUUGCACAUAUUCCUUGAAGGAAACCAGGGUUGCUCGACCACUCUCCGUCGAGUCACUGCUAGACGCCCCGUGUCCUGCGUCGUCAUCUCUCCAAUUGGUUGCUCCUUCACCUUCGUGCUCCACAAUCACGUUGUGGAGAAUGAUGCAACACAACAUGAUGUCCCUGAGGUGCUCCACGUACCAAUUACGAGCCGGACUGCGAAUGAUUCCCCACUGAGCUUGAAGGACUCCAAAGGCACGUUCGACAUCCUUCCGUGCCGAUUCUUGCAUCUUCUUGAACCUCGCCUCCUUUGAUUGGUCGCCAUCGGUGGACUCUUGACGAAACAACGCCACUCCGGAUAUAUAUCGUCGCACAAGUAGUAGCCCAUCUGGUAGUACCGAUGGUUCGCCUGAAAGAGCACGGGCGACGACGUUCCUUCCAACACGUCAGCGAAUAGAGGCGACUGGUUGAGAACGUUGAUGUCGUUGUUCGAACCAGCGACACCAAGAAGGCAUGCCAAAUCAACAGAUCGUAGGAUGCAACGGCCUCCAAGAUCAAUGUUGGCACCCCUUGAUCACCACGAGUAUAUGCGUCGUGCUACGCCUUUGGGCAAUUCUUUCAUCCCCAGUGCGUACAAUCAUGACUCCCGAGCAUCCCGGGAAAUCUGUGUCGCGCCUCGUGCAUCUGAGCAAGGUGUGUGAUGUCCUCCGGCGUUGGACGUCACAGAUAAUGGGCUCCGAAAGCCCGGAUGACAGCCUUGCAGAACUUCUUGAGGCAUACGCCUGGUCGAGUCGGCAACUAUGAGAUACUCGUCAAAAGUAUCCGCACUGACGCCAGUGGCUAAUUGGCGGAUAGCCGACGUGCAUUUCUGCAAAGGGGAGAGAGAGUCCCGACCUAUUGCAUCAGUGUUCAUCUGGAAGAAAGUAUCUUCACCUUAAACAGCCUCAACGAUGCGCAAGAACAACUCCUUCUGCAUUUGAAAACGCCGUCAGAAAAAUGUAGGUCCGUACGUCGAAUUGUCGUUAAAGUAGUCUAACAUAAGACGUAGAUGGGCAUUCUCACGAUCACGGUGGACGUAAGACCGGGGACGUUUCACACGUCCCGGCUUCGGCGCCGGUUGGGUGUUGAUGUGAGCAAACAAUUAUUUCUACAACUCUAUUUCCUCCAUGAUCGCGUGAGCUACACCGUCGGAUGAAUCAGACGAAGAAUCGUGGUCGGAUUUCGCCAUUAUCGGAAGAAAAAAGAAGGAAAUCUUGAAAGGUGUAGAUUAGAAGAGUAAAAGAGGAGAAUUGUUGAGUGAAGAAAGUGAGGAAGAAGAAGAAGGAAAAGAGAAGAUAAAGAGAAGAAAAAAAGGAAAAAAAAACGAACGGUCAAAGAAGGAACGCAAACCGAGGCAGUCAAAGCUGCCUUCAAAAUUCAAAAUUCGAUUUUUUUAAAAUGGCGCGUGUGAAACACGCGCCUGAAUUCAAUGGGCUAUCGGGCCACACAUUAGAACGUGUAGCCCUCGUGUAACAUGAGGCUACAUCGGCUUACACGAUAGCGGCUCUACACGAGUAGGCCGCAUCAUGUAAGCGAUGCGGAUGCUCUAAGUAAAUGACAAUACAACUCUGGAAACCCUCCAGCUGUUUAAAAAACUAGUCUUGUAUAACAAGUUUGAUUGAACAAGAAAAUGAUAAGAUAAUUAGACAAACAUGCCAAAACUUAGGAACUGCGAAUCUGAAUAUAUCAAGCAAAAAACACAACUGAAUAUCUCAAGCAAAACACACAGAUAGCUUGUAGAAGAGAGAGAGUUCACAACAUGACCCAUUAAAAAAACCUUAUAACAGCACUUCCCAACAUUAUCACAAAACAAAUAAGAUAUUAAACCUCACUCAUCAUCAUCCUCAUCUCCAUCGCCACCAGAGGCCUUCUUUGCAGCUGCCUUCUGGUUCUUCCGUUUCACCCUACCAGGAUGGCCACCACCGAAUGGACUUGUGAGAGAGAAAUCAAUGUGCUUCUGGGAAUCAACCCUCACAAGAAAUGAAGGCACAUUAACAACUUGCCUUCCAACUCUGCAAAGGUAAAUGACAUUAUACGGUCAAACACAUAAUUCAGAUGUUUCUGCUGCAGACUUUCCAAUAAAAAUUAGUGAGUGAUCAGAGGUUAGAAGGAAUCAGCAGAAAUCUAUUACUAUAUUAAAGCCAAAACAAUUGCCUUGCAAUCUCCCGCCCAAAAUGCAUGCAGUAACCGCCUAAAAUGCAUGCCUGCCCAAAAUCCAUGCAAUACAAUUAAAUAAACAUGCAUGAGGCUCAAUAUUCAAAACAAUUAUUACAGCCACCGCCCAACAAAAAUGAAUUACUAGAAAAUAGUAACAAUUAUUACAAUCGCCCACUUUUCGAUGACAAUAUAACAAUUUUCUAUGUCAUAUAUAGUAUAAUAUUAUUCAGGCUACAACAUGCUACAGAAUUUGAAAGGUUGCUCCAUCCUUAUAAAUAAACAUUAUAUACAAAAGCGUAACAAUUUUGCAAAAAGCUGUCAAAUUACAUACAACGAAUCUCUUCUCACCGUCCAGAAAAUCAGCAAACAUCACAAAUCCUGCAACCACAAAAGAUUUCAAAAGUAAGUAAACACACUAUCGGUAAAAUCUAAUUUAUCAAUACAUGUUUCGAUUUUUAUUUCGACAAAACAAGUUCCUAUCAUUUUUUUUCACACUCAAACAAGAAUAAAUAAUAUACUUUGUUGCUUUGUAGAUUUUUGAGCUUCAUAUUUGGAUUCAUGCCCUGUAUGUGGUCUUCCAUUUGUGAUUUGGAUGACUCAAGAACCACAUUUGGCGUCAAAGUUCGACUGGUCCGCUCCUAUGGAAAUCCUUCAUUUACAAACAAAGAAGAAAUCGUUAGUUGGGAAUGCAUUCUUCAUGAUUUUCAAGUAUGAGAACUUUGAAACAUUAUCAUUUGUAGCCCCCAAAUUUCUUAAGAGCAGUGCACACAUUUUCCAUGAAAAACUAACAUUCUUUUUUAUAUGAUUUGUAUAGGGAGAUAGAAUUGAGGCUACCAUUCCCAAGAAUCUCAUUUCCACCUUCAAGGAUCAAUUGGUGGAAGGAUUGGUGUAUGGAAUCAAAAAUUUCAAGGUCGUGCACAACACAAAGAAGAACAAGCUUACUACACACAAGUACAAGAUCAUACUAUGUGAAGACACAAAGAUACAUGAACUAUUUGUUCAGAAUUUUCCAAUGAAAAGAUUUUCAUUCAAAUCAUUUGAGGAGGUUCAAGUAAAAGAUAACUUAUACAAUGGCUCAUUAUUUGGUAUACAAAAACUUUUAUUCAUUUAUGAUAUUUUCAGUAUCAAUUUUAUACUAAUAGAUAUAUACUAAAAGUUACAUGUUUAUGCAGAUAUCAUUGGAGUGUUGGUGCAUCCAGGGGAAGUACAAAUUCGGACAUCAUCUACUGGAGAACAAAAAAAACUAAUCGAGCUGACUCUUGAAGACACCGAGUAAAUAAUCCUAAAUUCUUUCAUUUCUAAUGCAUUAUAUAAUAUGUUGUUCUGCAUUUUGUAAGUGGACCAAUUGAUGUGAAGGAGGAGAAGACUCUAUUGCACUCUAUGGGAGAAUUGCGUGGAUGACUUCUUGAAAUUAUUUGAAAAAGAAAAUCAAAUUACUAAUAUUCUCAUUGUGCAAUUUUGCAAGACAAGUAUCUAUAGAGGUAUGGAGACUAUCAAAUAGUGCAUAUUGCAUAAAACUGCUCAUAUUAAAUCUUAUAAAUCCGCACGUAUAAAUUUAGACACAUACCUACUUCAUAUAUUUAAACAUAUAGUGAAAUUAGAGCAUGUAAUGCUUUCAAUGUCACCAACUUGCUGUUGAAUGCAGAUGUGCCUGAAAUCAAUGAUUUCAGGGAGAGGUAACAUAUUGUUACAUUAAUAGAUACUUCUUUUACAUAUGUAAAAUAGUAUUGUGUUGAUUUUUAUUUCCUUAUUAUGUGUAUAAGGCUUGUGAAAGAAUCCAGUCUGAAUACUACUAAUAAUAGUAGUAUCUCACAAGGAGCAAAAUGCACUUUAAGCAAUGAUGAUCUCUUUGAAGGAAUGAACAACCUUAAGACAAUUGAGGAUUUAUUAUUUGAUGAUGAGGUUAGAUAUCCUGCCUUUUUUUUGAAAUGUGCAGAUCUAUUUUUAACUUUAAACUUUAAAUCUCAUACUUUUCAAACAACUUAUUUAUCACAGUUAGGAUGCUCUUGGAUUAUUGGUACUAUUGAUCGCAUAGAUUGGGAUUAUGGUUGGUCCUAUCUUUCUUGCAAGAGAUGUAUGAAGAAAAUGAUCAAAGAUGAACAUCAAUUCUAUUGUAAACAUUGAGUGCACAUUAUGAAUCAGCCACUCUUAGGUAACUAUUUAUAAUCUUUAUUAAAUAUUUAGGAUUAACUUAUAUUAAUGUUGCAUUAUAAAUGUAUUGGACAGGUACAAAAUUAAGGUUCAUGUGAAGGACGAUACUGGUAGAGCACAAUUUCUGCUCUGGGAUAGAGUGCAAGCAAGUUAUAGGAAAGGCUGCUGCAGACUUAGAAGUUAAUUCAGAGGUAUAAAUAUAAAUCAUUAUACAAUAUUAUGUGUAAGUUCAUCCCAUUUUAAUAAGUUCUCACAAAUUUUUUUAGGGAGAAAAUGUGGAUGACUUUCCUAAUGAAAUCCCCAAAGCUUUGUUGGACCACAAGUUGUUGUUCAAGAUCCAACCGACGUCUCAAGAAUGUACACCUUUUCAUCGUGAUGGUUAUAGCGUGUCCAAAAUUACAGAUGAUGAAACAAUUAUAUCAACCUAUUCUACAAGUGGCUUAGAUAGUCAGGUUUGUAUUAAUAAGUAAUAACAUUUUAUAGUUAAAUUAUAUCUAUUUCAUUUUUCUUAAAUUCUGACAUGUAUAUAUGUAAUGCCAAAUACAGGAGUCUAAUUGCGUUUCAAAGAUUGAAGGCUCCAAUUUAGUGAAAGAUAAGGUUGAAGAUGAGACUCCAACAGAGACUCCAUCAAGUAAGGGGGUUGGAGAUGAAUGGUGUGAUGAUAGGCAAGUAAAGAGGUCACUGGAUGAUGCAUUUUCUGCAACUAAAUUACAAAAGAAGCGAAACAUCAAGAUUAAGACAGAGAAAAUCUAGAUUGUUAUUUUAAGAUCUUCAAAUUAUUUUUGUCUGUGGGAGAACUUGGCCUAAUUAGUUCAUAUUUUUGGUAACUAUUUUGUUAGUAAGGGCAUACAUCUAUGUUAUUUGCUCUUACAUUUUGUCAUUCAGUCGAAUAUGAUGACUAUUAAAUUUGGUAAUGCAUUUAUGCAAUUAUGGAAAUUUUCAAUUAAGUAACUUAGUAUUUAAAACUUAGUUUCAAAUUAGUAACUUAGCAGCAUUAGUUCAUGCUGAUUGAGUGAUUUUUUUUAUUAUAAUUUUUUUUUAAUAUUUUCAAUACAUAAGUUAUCAAGUACAAUAAAUGAAGGACUUCUAACAAUCAAGGUAAAAGAUUGUUAUACUUUUACCUCUUUCGUGGGGUUAUUAUCCUCAAAGUAUUUUGUUAGUCUUGGGUGGGCUUUAUAUCUAUAGUAAUUAGUUUAUUAGUUCAAAUAUUUAGUCAUGCAUAUUGGUAAUUCACAGCACCUCAACAAACAUGCUUUAUUUUUUUAUAGCUACAAGGAGACAUGAUAAAGUGUUGGGACACACCACUGAUGAUAAAUAGUAUAGUACCUCUGCUUAACUCAUCAUCCAUGCUUCAUUAUUCCUCCUAUUUCUUUGAUAUCCCCACUUCUGAACCGGGAGGAGCUGGAUUAUUGAAAUGCGUAUAAAAUAAAAUUCUCUAUCAGAAUAAUCAACAAAAUAAAUCGAAGCAUUACUAUAAUUAAAACAAAUGUUCAUAGAUGUAACUCAAUGCACUGAUUUUCGAUACUUUCUUUAACCACAAAAAGCAUACAUGCAAAAACAAGUCUUCUAAGCAUCUUAAUUAUGAGAUUUUCUUCAGCACUAGCAAGAACAUUGUUAUUGGAUUUCACUAAACUGAAUAUGUUCUUUAACUGCAAAUAUAGUCGAAUCAAGUAUGUAACAUCUCUCAACUGAAAAUAUACUCCCACACCAAAUAUGAAGCAUCAAUCUCUAAUAAAAUAAAGUGUGAGGCGAAUUUGAUUGAUAUUCUCAAACAAAUGAUAAUUUCUAAACAAAUUAUAAUCACAAUUGAGGUAAUACCUUUCAAUGAAGAGAAUCGAUGGGCAUGGAGGCGGCGAGGCGGCGAACGGUGUGCUGAGCGCGAGCCCAUGUUGAGAAAGCGCGCAGAGGCAGAGAGAGGAUAGGCGGCCGCGUGGAUGCGGAGAGAGACGAACGGCGUCGAGGCAAAUAUGAAAUAGAGAAAAAGAGGAACAAUGGAGAGGCAGAAGGAAGACAAAUUGAUUCUGAUUUUUUGGGUGUAAAAAGAGGAACGAUUUUUCUAUUUAGUUUUUUUGAGGAAUGCAUUUUGACGGCAAUUCCCAUUAGCUUUUGACUUUUAGUAGGUUUUGAGUUGUUUUUUUUAGUUCUAUAUAUAUAUAUAUAUAGAGGCUCAAUAUAGAUAUAAAUAAAAAAGAACAGAGAACCUAUUUCAGCCAUUCGAUCAUCAAGAUCUACGGUGGAUGCAUCAUCUUGUUGGAUGAAUAUAGAACCUGGUUUGCCCUAAAAAAUACUACUCCGUGCUUUGUAUGAAUUAUGCUUUAUAGAAUCAACAAUAUAUUAUAUAUAUACUAUAAUUUGUCACCCCGUGCAAUGCACGAGAAAAUAUUUUAUAUUUUAUAAGAUUCAUAUAUAAUUUAUAAAUAAAUUUUUAAUUUUAUUAUAACUACAAAAUUGUCACCCAAUUUUAAAAUUGAUUUCAAAUUAAAUGUUACUUUUUUAAUAUAUUAGUAAAUAGAUAUUUAAUAGAACUACAACUGAAUUUAUAUUAAAAUUAAAAUAGUCAAAUAUAUUUAUAUAUAAAUAAGCCCUUUUACUCGAUUGGUUUAGGAAAAAAAGAGAGAGCAAUAAAUAAGCCCAACAUUCUCCUCAAAAAAACAAAAAGCCCAACAAAUAUAUAGAUAUAUAGAUUUUCAUAAUUGAUUUAGCCGAAUAGCAUACCAAUUGGUUCCAGAUUCAAUUUCGACUUCGAGGGUUGAGGAGGGAAUACCGCGCGCCUUCUGCGAUUGUUGAGGGAAAUUGAAGGCAGCGCCGGCCACGUCGCCGGCACCUCUUCCCACCGGCGCAUCUUACCCACGUCGCCAGUCUACUGCGCCUGAGCGCCUUCGGCCUUGAGUCCGCGCCUGAGUCCCUUCGGCCUUGAGUCCGCGCCUAAGCUCCUGAGCAAUCUGAUAGCAAGUCCCUUUGCGGCGGUCCAGCAAUCGAAAGCUGCUGACAGAUUCCAGAUUCUUUGAAAGGUUAGCUCCACAGUUCGGCCUUUCUCUUCAUUUUGUUUGAUUUCAUCCGUAACAGCAUUCGAAAAGUGCCAGAUUCUUAUGUUUGAAUAUUGAGAAGAUUUAAGUUUGUAUUCUUAUCUUAAGCUGCCAGAUUUGAGAAGAUUCGAAUACUGCCAGAUUUUUUGUUCUGUGUAAAUUAGGUUCUUAAGCUGCCAAAUUUGAGUAAGUGUUAAAUUAGGGCUUUUGCCAGCUAUAGAUAGUUAGCUUCAUUUUUUAAGGGAAAAGUGACGAUUUUAUUUAGUUUUGUGCAACUUCGUGGGAGAGGUCUGCUUAAGCAUUUCAAUUCAUCCGGUAUGGCCGAAUUCACAAUUUAAUUAUAAUAUAAUUAAAUUCAUGGUGUGAUCUCUGGCCAUCUUAGCACUAAAAGUUGGAUUUUUCAAAUUUUGAGCUAUCUUUGUAGUAACACAUCCGAAUAAUUAGGCCUUUUUAUGGAUGGAUGUUAAAUUUUCAAAGAGAAAUUUCCUUGGUUAUAGUAUUGUUAUGAAUCAUGAUUAUGAUCAGUUUUGCAAAAUGCAACCAACUUACGAACAAUAAAAUCUCUUCUCAUAACUAAGGAAAUCAGCAAACAUCACAGAUCCUGCAAACACCAAAAUUUCCAAAGGUAAGUAAACACUUACUUUGGUUAGUAUAUAUUUAUAGUUUUAUCGGAUUUAUCAAUACAUGUUUUGAUUUUUAUUUUCUACAAAACAGGUUCCUCAUAAGAACAAUGAAAAAGCUUACAAAAUCUGCAAUAAUCCAGAGCAUUAGUACCAGAAAUAAUACAUUUAAUUCAGGUACUAUAUGACCGCCCAAAAUGCAGUAUACAACAUAUUUAUUCAUUACUUGAAUAUUUACUCCACAUAUUAUGUUCAUUUUUAUUCACAAAACAGAGACUCCAACAUCAGGAACAUUAAAAGACUUACUCGGUCAACUGUGAUUCGCGGAAGACUGUAAGAGAAAUUCAGGUAUUUGUACAUUAUUUUGACCANAGUUAUAUAUUAUUAUACUAUAUAUAUAUAUAUAUAUAUAUAUAUAUAUAUAUAUAUAUAUAUAUAUGAUUUUCACAUAGAUUGAAUAGGAUGGAAGACCAACCUUUUUGUGCUAUAAUAGAAGCUUCAACAAUAGCAGUAGACAAGCAAACUCACAACAUUGCGCCACAAAGAGAGAGAGAAACAGUGACGGGAUAGGCAUCUAAUUUGAGCUAUAAUCUUUAUGGUUGAAUUAUUUUGUUUGGGUGAAUUACUUAUCUAGCUUUUCAUUUUCCGUAAAAUUGGCAUCUAAGUUAUGUAUAUGUCAAUGUGGUUUCUUUUGAGUCAUAUUUCAUAUUCUUAUUCGAUUAAAGCAUUUUUUGAAAGUUAAUUUCAUCUUGUGAUUUUUUGUGUUGUUGAAAUAAUAUAAUUGAGACCAAAACAAGUAAUUCUAAUUAUUAGUAAAUUUCCAUUGUUAUAUAAUUGUGUAUUUAUGACAGAAAAUUUGAAUACUACACCACGUAAAUGCCCGCGAUACAAUGUGGGUGCAUGUGAUUCUGUUCAAGAUAUUGGCUCAACAUCUCAAAGACAGUCAUCGUCAUCCUCUGCAUUACCUUUCAAUGAUAUAACCAAUGGUAAAUGUAAACUUUGUUACGUCAUUAUUGCUCUCUAAUCUAAUUGUUUGAAUAAAAUAUAAUAGUGAACCUUAAUUUUGUUUGCAGUAACCGGAACAAGGUCAUUUAAUGUUGUUGAUGAGUCAAUGAAUAUUGAUGGGCAAAAGUCUACAAUAGUGGUUCAUAAUUGCACUGCAACUAACAUCAAUAGAGAAAAUUCUAAUUCAGGUACUAUAUGACCGCCCAAAAUGCAGAACACAACAUAUUUAUUCAUUACUUUAAUUUUUACUCCACAUAUUAUGUUCAUUUUUAUUCACAAAACAGAGACUCCAACAUCAGGAGCAUUAAAAAGAAUUACUCGGUCAAGUGUGAUUCGCGGAAAGACUGUAAGAGAAAAUUCAGGUAUUUAUACGUUAUUUUGACCAUAUAUAUAUGAUUUUCACAUAGAUUGAAUAGGAUGGAAGACCAACCUUUUUGUGCUAAAAUAAAAGCUACAACAAUAAUAUUAAAUCUUAUAAAUCCGCACGUAUAAAUCUAGACACAUACCUACUUCAUAUAUUUAAACAUAUAAUGCAGGUGAAAUUAGAGCAUGUAAUGCUUUCAAUGUCACCAACUUGUGAUUUUUUGUGUUGUUGAAAGUAAUAUAAUUGAGACCAAAACAUGUAAUUCUAAUUGUUAGUAAAUUUCCAUUGUUAUAUAAUUGUGUAUUUAUGACAGAAAAUUUGAAUCCUACAGCACGUAAAUGCCCACGAUACAAUGUGGGUGCAUGUGAUUCUAUUCGAGCUAUUGGCUCAACAUCUCAAAGACAGUCAUCGUCAUCCUCCGCAUUACCUUUCAAUGAUAUAGCCAAUGGUAAAUGUAAACUUUGUUACGUACGUCAUUAUUGCUCUCUAAUCUAAUUUUUUUUUGAGACGUCCUCUCUAAUCUAAUUGUUUGAAUAAAAUAUAAUAGUGAACCUUAAUUUUGUUUGCAGUAAUCGGAACAAGGUCAUUUAAUGUUGUUGAUGAGUCGAUGAAUAUUGAUGGGCAAAAGUCUACAAUGACGGAUCAUAAUUGCACUGCAACUAACAUCAAUAGAGAAAAUUCUAAUACAGGUACUAUAUGACUGCCCAAAAUGCAGUAUACAACAUAUUUAUUCAUUACUUGAAUUUUUACUGCACAUAUUAUGUUCAUUUUUAUUCACAAAACAGAGACUCCAACAUCAGGAGCAUUAAAAAGACUUACUCGGUCAACUGUGAUUCGGGGAAAGACUGUAAGAGAACAUUCAGGUAUUUAUAUGUUAUUUUGACCAUAUAUAUAUGAUUUUCACAUAGAUUGAAUAGGAUGGAAGACCAACCUUUUUGUGCUAAAAUAGAAGGUACAACAAUAAUAUUAAAUCUUAUAAAUCCGCACGUAUAAAUCUAGACACAUACCUACUUCAUAUAUAUAUAAUUUGCAUGUUAUUCUCACACAAACUUGCUAUUUUUAUUAGGUUCUGAUGAUUUUGAAUAUAUACCUUGCAAUAGUACAAGUGGUAGUAUCUCAUUUUUGUAGUUUCUGUGAUGUAUCGAUUUGAUAAGAAUAAUUUGCAAAGAACUUUACUAAUAAUUCAAAUUAGAUAUUUUGAUAUGAUUUUAAAUAUUUAUGAUAAAUCGUUGUUUGAUUGAUUGCAGAAUACUGGGAUAUAGGUGAUCCGAUAUAUACUUGUGAAUUUUGUGGGGCUAUGUUUUGGUAUGAAGAACGAUUGAAGAAACAUUUGAAUACCCAAAAUCCAAAGUAUUCAGCGUGUUGCUUGAGUGGAAAAAUUCAACUUCCAAAAAUGAAAGAACCUCCUAAAGUCUUGCAAGACUUUGUUUUUGGAAAUGACGCUAUGAGCAAGCAUUUUGUUGAAAAUAUUAGAUCGUACAACAAUAUGUUUUGUUUCACGUCCAUGGGAGGAAAGAUAGAUUUGAGUUUAAAUAAUGGGAAAUCGCCACCUGUGUUUCGAAUGCAUGGUCAGAAUUAUCAUUUAAUUGGAAGUUUGAUGCCAACCGUAGGAGAGCCACCGCGAUUUGCCCAACUUUAUAUUUAUGAUACUGAAAAUGAAGUUACAAAUAGGCUACUCUCUGUGCGGUUAGUCUGAUUAAUAUCAUUUUUUUUUAAAAAAAUAUCAUUCAAUUUGGCUUGCAAUAUAUUUAUAUUAAUUAUGUUUUGAUCUUUUUGUAGGCAAAAGAAUGACAUAAAUCAACUUCAUGGUGAGAUUGUAGUAAAGAUUAAGGAUAUGUUAGAUGAGAACAAUGUUUUAGUCAAGUCAUUUCGAAUGGCAAAGGACAAAUUUGUGGAGACUGGAACUGAUCAGAUAAAGUUAAGACUAAUCGGAAAAAGAGGACAUGACGCAAGAAGAUAUAAUCUUCCUUCUGUGUCCGAGGUUGCUGCAUUAGUUGUGGGUGAUUUUGAUGAAUCAAUGGCAGAAAGAGAUAUAAUUGUUGAAACACAAUCAGGUCAACUUAAACGUAUAAGUGAGCUACAUGCAUCUUAUCUUGCUUUGCAAUAUCCACUGCUAUUUCCAUAUGGCGAGGAUGGAUAUCGAGAAGACAUUCCAUUUUCAGAAUCAAAAAGAUCGUCUAAUGACAAACGCACAAAAGUAAGCAUUAAAGAAUUCUUUGCUUAUAGAUUGCAUGGAAAGAAAGAUGAGGUGUCGACUAUUUUAUCAUCGAGGCGACUGUUUCAACAAUUUGUUGUUGAUGCAUACACAAUGGUAGAAUCGAGCAGAUUAUCAUAUGUGCGCCGCCAUCAAAAAGAAUUACGUGCAGAGAUGUAUAAGGGUUUAAAAGAAGCACUUCUAAGGGGUGAAACAGAUCCGGCUAGGCAUGGAAAACGUGUAAUUUUGCCUUCAUCCUUCACCGGUGGAGCACGGUACAUGAUACAGAAUUAUCAAGAUGCUAUGGCCAUUUGCAGAUGGGUGGGGUAUCCAGAUUUGUUUAUUACAUUUACUUGCAAUCCAAAAUGGCCUGAAAUAGUUAGAUAUGUUCAAAGUAAAGGUUUGAAACCCGAGGAUCGUCCUGACAUCAUUGCUCGUGUCUUCAAGAUCAAGUUGGACAAUCUAAUCAAAGACUUGCAAAAGAAAAAAUUAUUUGGCAAAGUCAAAGCAGGUACGAAUUAUCUUACAUAUGAUUAAAAAUAUCUUAAAUGAUAUAGUUGCAUACAUUAUUCAUUUUUUUUUUUUUGGUAUUUUGCAGUUGUGUACACCAUUGAAUUUCAAAAACGAGGACUCCCUCACGCUCACAUCUUGCUUUUUCUGGAUAAAGAAGACAAACAAAAGUCAACUGAAGGUAUUGAUAAAAUUAUUUCAGCUGAGAUUCCAGAUCAGGAAUCUGAACCAGAAUACUACAAAGCAGUCCAAGAUUUUAUGAUACAUGGUCCAUGUGGCAUCACAAAUAAAAACUCACCGUGUAUGUCUAAUGGUCGUUGUACAAAGUAUUUUCCAAAGAAGUUUCUUGAGGCAACAUCUACAGAUGAAGAUGGAUAUCCUAUUUACAGACGUCGAGAUAAUGGUAGAGUUGUUGUCAAGAAUGGAGUCACUUUGGAUAAUAGAUUUGUGGUACCACACAAUCGAGAGCUUCUUCUAAAGUAUGGUGCUCAUAUCAACGUUGAAUGGUGCAAUCAAUCUCGAUCGAUAAAGUAUUUAUUCAAGUACAUAAACAAAGGGCAUGAUCGUGUCACUGCAUCAUUUUACCAAACCAGUGGAGAUGAAGAAACACAAAAAGAAUGUGAUGAAGUGAAGAUGUAUUAUGAUUGUAGAUACAUCUCUCCAUGUGAAGCAGCUUGGAGAAUUCUUGGUUUUGAUAUACAAUAUAGACAUCCUCCUGUUCAGCGAUUGAGCUUUCAUCUUGCCGAUGAGCAAAGUAUAAUAUUCUCAGUCUCCGAUCCACUAAAUACUGUGCUUGAUCGGCCAACUAUUAAGCAAAGUAUGUUCUUAGCUUGGAUGGAAGCGAACAACAAAUAUCCUGAAGCAAGAGAACUUACUUAUGCUGAAUUUCCAACAAAAUUUGUUUGGAAAAAAAAAACUCGAGAAUGGAGGCCAAGGAAGAAGAAAAGAUUCGUAAUUGGAAGAAUCUUUUAUGUACCUCCUGGAUCUGGAGAGUUGUAUUACAUGAGAUGUCUAUUGAACGUUGUUCGCGGUCCAAGAAAUUAUGAAGAAAUAAGAUGCGUCAAAGGAGUUCAAUAUAAUACUUUUCGAGAUGCUUUAUAUGCUCUAGGAUUGUUAGAUGACGAUAAAGAAUAUAUUGAUGGAAUUAUAGAGGCAAGUCAUUGGGCAUCCGCAAAAUCUCUGAGAAGUCUUUUUGCCACCUUAUUGUCAUCCGAUUCACUUGGAAAGCCAGAAGUGAUUUGGGAUCAAUGUUGGAGGUUUUUAUCAGACGAUAUUCUCUAUAAUCAAAGAAUGUUGCUACAACAUCCAGGUAUGUUCUAUUAAUAAAUAUAUUAUUGCACAAGUUCUAAUGCAAUACUAGAUGAAUAUAAAUUAUAUAACUAUUUAAUGUCGUUUUUGGACGGUACAGGGUUGUUACUAAAUGAAGACCAAAUCAAGAAUUAUUCUUUACUCGAGAUUGAGAAGUUGUUACACGCUGUUGGGAGGAGUUUACGUGAGUUUCCAUCUAUGCUGUUUCCAAAUGUUGAAUUUUCUCAAUUCAGUCGAAAUAGAUUGAUCAUCGAUGAGCUGCAAUAUGAUCAAAAAUGUCUGCAGCAAGAGUACACAGAUUUCUUACACAAAUGCACAAACGAACAACGUCAAGUGCAUGAUACAGUUUUAAAUGCAGUAAAUUCUGAUUGUGGAGGUAUGUUUUUUGUAUAUGGCUAUGGAGGAACUGGAAAAACUUUUGUUUGGAAGGGAUUGUCAGCUGCUUUGCGGUCAAAAGGAGAAAUAGUUAUAAAUGUUGCUUCGAGUGGAAUAGCAUCACUUUUAUUGCCUGGUGGAAGGACCGCACAUUCACGUUUUAAAAUUCCAAUCAAUGCAAAUGAAGAUUCCACAUGCAACAUAAAACAAGGAAGUCCACUCGCUGAGUUACUUAUAAAAGCAAAGCUUAUAAUUUGGGAUGAGGCGCCUAUGAUGCACAGAUUUUGCUUUGAAGCUUUAGAUAGGAGCUUACGAGAUCUCAUGCGCUUUUGCAAUCCAUUGAGCUCACAACUUCCCUUUGGCGGUAAAACAAUAGUCUUUGGAGGCGAUUUUCGACAAAUUUUACCAGUGAUUCCCAAAGGUAGUAGACAAGAUGUUGUGCAUGCUACAAUCAAUUCAUCGUAUCUCUGGAAAAGUUGCACAAUAUUAAGACUAACCAAAAAUAUGAGGCUUCAGAAUACUUGCUCCGAAAAUGAAUCAAUUCAAUUGGACCUUUUUUCUAAGUGGAUUGCAAGUAUUGGAGAUGGGACAAUUGGAGGUCCUAAUGAUGGAGAAGCAACCAUUGAUAUUCCAGAUGACAUUUUGCUUAAAUACGACGGAGAUCCUAUUUCUACCAUUGCAGAUUACAUUUACUCAUCUGACAAUAAAGCCAUAGACAAUGCAUGUUAUUUACAAGAACGUGCAAUUUUGGCACCAACUUUAGAUGUUGUGGAGUCUAUUAACCAGCAUAUGAUUUCGUUGAAUGAAAGUGAAGGUCAAUCAUACUUGAGCUCAGAUACUCCAUGCAGAUCAGAAUCAAAUGAUUCUAUAUUUCAAGAUAUCCACACGCCAGAAUUCUUGAACAGUCUUAGAUGUUCUGGUAUUCCUAAUCAUGAGUUAUUUUUGAAAGUUGGAACACCUGUAAUGCUUCUUAGGAAUAUUGAUCAUGCUAAUGGUUUAUGUAAUGGAACUAGACUGGUCAUUACAAGACUUGGCAGCCAUGUAUUAGAAGCAAAGGUUCUGACAGGUCAGAAUGCAGGUCAUAAAGUGUUGAUUCCAAGAAUGUCACUGACUCCAUCAGAUCCCAGAUUGCCAUUCAAGUUUCAACGGCGACAAUUCCCGCUCAUUGUCUCUUAUGCUAUGACUAUUAACAAAAGUCAAGGUCAAUCAUUGUAAUGACCUGACUUUUUAUUAAGGAUUAUAUACUUUUAAUUACUGAUUUAAGGAUUUAUUAUGGUAAUUAGAGUUCAGCAUCCAUUAAUAAAAUACGAACUUAUAUGAAUUUGAUAAUUUAUAUAUGUGAUGAUUUAUUUUUUUAUUUUCAAUAGAUGAUGCACUCAAAAUAUAUUUUGAGUCCAUUAAUUUAUUGUGGAGAAUUUAACACUGAAGUGUUAAAUAUGAAUCUUUUAUCGAUUGUUUACUUAAGCCCAUGAGUAAUUUAAUUUAUGUUAGAAGCAAGCUCAAAUGGAUUUUAUGCUUCAAUAAGAAUUAGGCUUAUAUGUCUUAAUGUAUUUAAAUGAGUUUGGAACCAUAUAAUUAAUAUAUUAAUCUCUUAGAUAUUUUAAUUUGAAUAAUCCUAAGCAUGCUGAAUCCUAAGCAUGCUGAAGAAUUUACUACGCAUGCUGAAGAAAUUCUUCAGUCAUACAAAGCUAGCUGAAAGUGUUCAUACCUGUAAGUUGAAGAAUUUCCACGACCCUCACCACCCCAUUUUUCUUUAUAAUCUACACCAUUCUUCACCCAAACCUCACCACUUCACCAUUUCAAAAUUCUGCAGCAAGUUCACACAGCAACUACACUACCAGACCAAGGUUUUCUUCUUAAACUGAGCUCGUUUAUUUUGAGCUCUCUAUUUCGUUCACCUGUUACAGAGAACCACCAACACAUACCAAUUUCUCAUAUUCCAUUUUUAUGUGCAUAUGCAGCCUGUUAUAACAAAAUUUCAUGUAUAAAUGGAGGGUUGAAAUUACAUGAAUGAAUGUUUAAGUGCAGUACGCUUUAUUGAAGUACAUUUACAGUAUUUGAAAAUGAAUUCAGUAAAAAGCCUAUUUCUAUGUUUUGAACUGAAUAUGAGGCUUGAACCCUGUUUUGUAUGUGUGAGUCGAGAUCAGAGGGAGGNCCCCGUUGACUUUGACGAGGUCUCCGACGACGAUGAAGUCAUCCUUGCCAAGAAGUUCCAGACGUUCCGAUCCCGACGCAGAUCCAUGAUGACCUCAAGAAGGCGGCGCCGCCCGCCAAGGAGGUCGUUUGAUGGUCGAAUUGAUAUCUUUUCUUUUCUCAUAUGUCAGGGGAAAUUUAAUAUAUUUUCUCAUAAAAGGCUCUGUAUCUUUAUAUAAUUGAUGAAUUGAUUUUCAUGAUUAUUUUGUGAGUUUCUAGUUGCUAAUUAUUAUUUAUCUAUAUUACCUCACUUUUUCUUUUUUAAUUCUACUAGCAUUUGCACCCCGUGCAAUGCACGGGAAAUAUUUUUAUAUUUCUAAAUUUAUAUAAAAUUGAUAACAACUCAAUAUCACAUUUAUACAUAUAAUAAAAAAAAUUAACUUUACCUAAUUAAAUAUAUUUUAUUGAUUAUUGAAAAAAAAAAAAGAAUCCACAAUAAUAAAAAAAAUUGAUAUUAUGUAAAUAAAAAAAAUAAGUUAAAAAAUUAAAAAUUUAAACAAUUAAAAAAAUUAUUACAAAAAAAAAUGAGAGGAGAGAUUAAUUUUUAAAAAAUUUAAUUUUUAAAUAAAUAUAAAUUUUAUAUUAUAAAUAAAAUAUAUCAAAUUAAAGUUCUUAUCACAAUCUUAAUUUAAUAUGUCAUAUUAAAUAUUUUAUAAUUAAACGAAUUUCAAAAAUUUUGAAAGGAACAAACAAAGAAAUAAAAAGAUAAAGAAAAAGAAAAUAAAACCCUUUUUAUAGAUUCUAAGAACUGUAAAUAAACGUUUGUUAGAAAUGUGAGUUAGUUGACUUAAAUAUUUUAAUAUUUUAUUUUAAAUUAUGAAUCGUAAAAAAAAGUUUACAAAAUUAAAAAAUAAUGAAAAAAUGAAUUAAAGAAUAGAUUUAGUAAAAAAAAGAUGAAGAGAGGAGAGAAGAAAUUUUUAAAAUUUUAAUAUUUAAACUAAUAUAAUUUUUACAUUUUAAAUCUUAUAUUUACAUAAACUAUAUCAAAUAAAGCUCUUAUCGUGAUCUUUAAUUUGAUAGGCAUAUUGAAUAUUUUAAAAUUAAGAAUUUGAAAUUAAGUAAAUAAAUAAAUAAACAAAAAAAUAAGAAAGUUAAAGAAAAGAAAAUGAAAAGAAUAAAUAGAGUUUAUAAAUAAAUCUUCAAUUUUGUCUUAACUACAAAAUCGCCAUUCAAUUUUCAAAUUGAUUUGAAAUCAAUUUCUAAUUGAAAACUGCUGUUUUAAUAUAGUAUAGAUUUAUAAUGGCUGUGUUUGGAUGAUGGAACUGAAUGAAUAAUUUUUUUUCUUGAAAUAAAUCAAAUUAUUUGUGGUAAAUUAUUUAUAACUGAAAUUUUGAGAUGCAUGUGGGAUUUGUGAAAAAGAGAAUCUAAAUAAAAAAUCUUAAGUUGAAUUCAAUAAAUAAAAAAUCUUAAGUUCUUUUAACUUGUUAUUUGUUAAUAUAUUUAAUUAAGCUUGUGAGUAUUUUUUGUUUAAGUACCUUCUGAUAUCUGGUUAAAUCUUUUUAUGUUGAUCUCAAGGUUUGCUAUAUCUUGCAUUUUUUCUUUUACAAGUUUUUAGCUGACUGCUGAUCAUGCUUAAAUAUAUUGCAAUUGUUUGCUAUUCAUGGUUAGAAAUAAAUUGUCGAAUAAAAGUAAGAUAAAUAAUCUAAUGAAUGGUUAUUGUAUUAUUAAAACUAAUGAGAUAAGUAUUUUUUUUAUUUUUUUUAAUGAACGGUAAAAUAAGCUAAGAUUUUAAUUUUAUCUCGAAUUUUUUAAUUAAUAAUUUGGAAUAUCAAAUAUAUAGAUCUUAAAUUAUUUAGCUACUUAGAUUUAUAAGGCAUUUUUUUUUUUCCUAAAAAUUACAAGAGGUAUCUAUUAUCUAUUAUAUAAUCAAAUAAGUCAUCUGUACGAAGGCAUGACCUCUACAUCACACAAAGGUGGAAAAAUAACGAAAACAGUUGAAAUCAUUGUUGUUUAGAGAUAUAUGUCAAACUUGUCAUUUUAAUGCAAACACGUGAGAAUAAUGAGUUUAAAAAACCUGUGCAUGCAAGAUCGAUUAUAAGAGCACCCGCAACGCGGGUACUCGAGGAGCCACUGGGCGUCGAGGAGGGCGUUGCGGCGUGGAGCUCCUCGAGGACUCCUCGAGUUAUCGAGUAUGCUCGAAGGGCUAUUGCACGCGCCCAAUUUUAAAAAAAAGGAAAAAUUCGAAAAUUCGAAUUUUAUUCGAAUUUUGACUGCAGCUCCUCGGUUUCUGCACCUUUGACCGACCGUUUUCAUUUUUUUUUUCCUUCUUCUCUUCUUUAAAACACCCCACCUUCUCCCCACAAUCUUCACACCUCUUCUUCUUCAAUUUUCUUCUCUCCACACCUCUUCUUCUCCUACAAUUUUCUCCGUCAUGGAUCCACACAACUCUUUCUACGAUCCACACACCUUUUUAUGUAUUUUUUUUUUAAUGUUUUAAGUAAUUUUAAAUUUAUGAUUAAUCCAGUAUUUAACUAUUACAAAAAUAUGCUAUUUAAAUUAUGCAAUAAAAUUUAAAUGAAAAACAUAAAAUCAAAACUAAUAUUAUCAAGUAGGCUAUCAAGGAACCCCAAUGCAGCACUACCUACUCAAUAACACAAACACUAUCAAGUAGGCUAUCAAGGAACCCCCAAUGCGGAUGCUCUAAGAGCAUGUCCAGCGCUGGUGUCGAGCGCUGGAUCGACGCGAGGCGAAGAGGGAGCAGCCGCACUGCAGACGCGGCGUGAUGCGAGGCCGCGUCGAAGCCAAGACCCGGGGCGAGUGGCAAUGGGAGUAUGGCGCGUCCUUCGGACGCGUCCAAAAUUAAAAAAAAUAAAAAAUCGUUUUUUAAAAAAAAACUGACCGUUGCUUUAAUUUUUUUUUUCUUUUUAAAAUUCGACCGUUGCUUUUGGAAAGGCUAUUUUGAUUUUUUUCCUUUCCCUUCUAUAAAUACCACUCUUCCACUCUUUCAAAUUCACCACAUUCUCAACUACAAUUCUCUGUUUAAAAUUUUUCCAAACAACAAUUCUCUCUUCUACAUUUUUAUAUGGAUCGUAAAUUCGAUGAAUACCUUGAGCAACAAGGCGGUUCGAGGCUUCCAAUGAUGGGGUUUGCUCCAUUUUCACAAGCCUGUUUUGGAGAAGGAAUUGGACAAUAAGGUGUUUUUGGCUCACACUCACAUCUUUCAAGUGCAUUUUGUGGAGUUUUGAAGAUGAAGAUAGAAAGUUCGAUUGUGUGAAAAGGCUUGAAGAUGUUGCUGCCUUUAUAGAAUAGGAAUUGAGGGAAAUUUGAAGAUGUCCGAAAAUUUUCCUCUGGCGCCUUUUUUUAAUCUAUGCAACCUAACUUUUUAGUCCAUUUGUUAUGUUUAUUUUGAGUCUUGAAAACUUUGAAGUUUGUGAAAAAAAAUUAAUCAAUGCAGUCCUUUUUUCANCUCGGCAUCCCAUGAAAGAGCGGCAGCAAGUUUGAGUCGUUGGGCUUCAUAUUAUAAUUUCGGACUGCCGUGGGAAGCACUAUCGCCGACGUGCUAGUGUUCCCGAUAACAGGCCCGGAAAAAUCCCCCAUAUACUGUACAUUUUGCUCCGCCAUGACUUCUUGGUCGAGACUGGGGUAAUCCUCUUCACAAUCUUCCUCAGGAUACUGCGAUUCCACAAAGUUUCUCGAACUGGACUCGGACUCCUCCUCCAGGCUAGAAAGGACCUCACGAGGUCGGUGAAUGUUGUCAAAGUAAGGAACUAGCUUUCUUUUCAAGCUGCGGCGACCUUGCAUACACAACACUAGCAAACCAAAUCAAACGCACCGGAGGGAGAAAAUAACCAAGUCAAAAUAAAUAAACAAAAUAAACACGAAAAACAAUGCAACACAAUCAAAUGCCUAAAGCCUUCCCCGGCAACGGCGCCAAAAUUUGACUCAUCCAAAAACACCAAGCGGAUGGACUCGAAUUUAUACGAGGUCGUCCUAGGGCGGUAAGGUGACUCAAGUCGUCUCUCAAUGAAGGCUUAGCAGGGCUUCAAUUGUGCUACUCACAGGAAACAGGAAAUAAACCUACACACUCUAAUCAGAUAGCUGGGUCUGGCACUCUCUCUUUUAAAUCUAGGACGUAAUUAAAUAAGGCUUGUAAAAUUAAUCUAAUGCAGAAUCAACAGAAAGCAUAUAAAUCUAUCUAGGCAAAAUAGGAAGCAGAUUAAGAACGCAGGGAACUAAUAAACCUAGGAUUCUAACUAGCAAUCUAGAAAGCAUUAGAUAAUUCAAUCAAAUAAGAACAACGAUUAUCUAGGCGAGAUAAAAGAACAAUCAAUCAUCAAAUAACUCGAAGCAACAAUAAUCUAUGCGAAGGAAAUAGACUAGCAUUCAAACAUAUAGAAAGCAAUAACUAAGUUCUUACAGCGAGUACGAUCCAAAUCUUCAAUCUAAUGUAAUGAAAACAAUCAUAAUCUUCAAUCCACGAAGCCACAAGAUGUUUGUUGAUGUUUUAGCUACUCUAAAACUAAGGGAAAACAAGGAAAAUCGCCUAGGAGGCUGCUGGGGUCGAGAAGUGCCAAGAAAAACCCUAAAAAUGGGUUUUAAACCAAAAAUCCAUAACUGCCAGAAAUACGCAGUAGGCGGCCGCCUAGAAGUAGGCGGUGGCCGCAGAAAGUAGGUGGCCGCCUAGAAGUAGGCGGUGGCCGCAGAAAGUAGGCGGCCGCCUAGAAGUAGGCGGUGGCCUAGAAGUAGGCGGUGGCCGCAGAAAGUAGGCGGCCGCCUACUACCCCUUUCGUAAAUCCAAGGUAGGCGAGCGGCGAGGCUAGGCGGGCGCCGUGUGUGCGGCGGUGGCCGCAAGAGUAGGCGGCCGCCUACCCGGAGGCGGUGGCCUAGUCUGGCGGCGGCAGCUGCUCCGGCAGUUGCCUCUUUAUCCAAAAAUGCUCAAAACUUCACGAAAAACUUCCCAAACUCCGGAAUCCUGCACCAACAAGAAAAUGCAGCAAACAACACUCGAGCAAGAAUAAAAUGGCACGAAUAUGCACAGAGUAUGCUCGAAUGUGUAUCACACAACCCAAUAAUAACACUCAAAAAUAAGGUAAACAAAUCGCCAAGAGAGAGUCCGAAAACAACACCACAGGACCCAAAUCUAACGACAAACUCACACCCACCGCAACAAGCAUAGCGUGCAGCUCACCAAGUAACACCGUCUCAGUAUACCCAACGGGCUUAGCUCCUGCCGCAACAAUCUCCCCUCUAUCGUUUCGGAAGAUGAAACCCACUCCCAAGCUGCAACCAUUCUCCUGGUACGCGACAUCAACGUCCAGCCUUAGCACGUUCCUCGGCGGAGGAUACCAGAAAUCCACUCCCUCAGCAGGUAGAACACGCCCCUCAAUAGCUAGCUGUUCUUUAGUUUUCUGGAAAAGCCCCAGCAUCCUGCUGCUCUCUCUCACAUCCACCACCCCAUAAUGUUUUUUAUCACCAUGUGUUUCACCACAUAAAAGCCUCCAAAUCAUCCAAAGCUUAUAGAACCAUUCUGCCAAGAGCUCACCGCCACCCUUAUCCAACACCAGCUAACUUAUAUCAGCAAGAGAAAGAAACCUGAAAUCCCCAAUCCACUCCCAGAACACCGACUCCUUCCAAAACCCUCUAACUUUCACACACCACACCAAAGUAUGCACCGUACUCCCCCAAUCUUGUUUGCACCAGUAACAAGAACCAAGAACCGGAAUGUGGUGAGCUGCAAGAUUCCCAUUAGAAGCAAUGAAAUCAUGAAGAGCUUUCCAAGCAAAAUGCUUAACUUUAGGAGGGACGUUAAGCGCCCAAACUUUCUCCACCACGAAGCUUCGGAAAAAGAAGAGGUUGACGCUCUUGGCUCGUAAAAAUUUGUGCCGCAUAAGUAGCCCGACUUAACCGAGUAUCUUCCUCGCUCGUCAAAACCCCAAAACCGUCUAUCCUCUGUUAUUGUAGCAUCCAAAGGAAUAGAACUAAUACUCUCAGCCACAGCUUCAGGAAAACAAGCCAAAAUAAAAUCUUUAUCCCACGAGCGAUCACUGUUCAUCAUAUCGGCCACCCUGAGGCUAUCCGUUGCUUCGCCAUCCCAUAUCCCGAACCCCGGAAUCCAUCUAUCCCGAUAAGCCUUUAUUGAAGCACCAUUACCAACUUUCCAUCUCAACCCCUUAGCUAACAACUCACGUCCCCAACAAAUUGAUCGCCAAGUGUAUGACGCAUUGGGAGAAAUAGGAACCUCCAUAAAAUCUGCAUCUUUGAAAUAGCUGUCACGACCGGCCCUAAUUAAGGAUAAUUAAGCCGGGAAAACCGUGACUAAUGGAGGGAGAUUAGAAGCGGGGUAGAAAGGGGGAUAAUCAAACAAGGAAGGAUCGCAUUUCAUCAUUGUUAACAAAAGGGAUAUUUAUAAUAUAACGGAGGUUUAGUCGUAUAGACUCAAAUAACUAGUAAGUUCGGAUAACUCCGACUUAGCCAAAAUAACAUAAAACUUCUGAGUACGCAGCGGAAUAAGGUUCUGAUUACAUGUAUGAAGACAUGUAUCCCUAGAGUUCAUUAAUACAUAAUAAGACAAAAGAGUCCCGCUUGUCACUCAUCACCAUCGGCAGCUACUCAACCUGCACAUUUAGAAAUAUAUGCAGGGCUGAGUACAAAAGUACUCAGUGGGCACGUAUGCCUAAGUAUAAAAAUACAUGCUUCAAAACUGUAAAUUGUCAUGCCAUCAUCAACAUACAGCAAGGGAGUUUUUCGCUAAAAAGGCCCAAGCUUACUAAGUUCAUUUGUGAUUCUUAAAGUUCGUCUGCAGACUAAGUUCUCUUGUAAUCUAUCAUAUCUGGAACUUUGUGCCGGAGAGGUGGCCACCUCUCACGGUCACUUGACCGGCCAACCCGCUAGAUGACUCACGGUCACUGGUGUACACUAGCCCUGGCAGGAUAGCUAUCAACUGCUCAAGACCCGAAUUCGAUUACAUAACUGGCAAAGCCACAUCAGACUAGAUAUCAUACUAAAAUUAAACAUUUUAUGGCUAAGACAACAGUUGUAAUAUUUUCCAGUUCAAAGAUUUGUAACGAAUUAACUUGUUCAAAGGUAGCAUUAAACUCGUUUGAUAGAUAUAUAAAACUGAAAUUAACAGUUAAAUCAUCACAUGCAUUCAUUCGUAUAAGAGGCCUACGACACGCAGGGGAUCUCUAUAUACGUAUAGUAAAAGUAAUGCCCACCUGAUAGCAAUUUUUGCUUUGGUAAAGUAGCUCUUGCUGGCUAUUUUACUCUCGCCUUCACCUUUAUUGCGAUGAUAUAAAGUAAGAUAUUUGCUCGAAUAAAUCCUCAAUUAAUGAGAAUGCGUAAUUUAACUAUGCAUGACUCGUAUUCCGAUAAUUAUUAUUCUGAGAUAAUAAUCUGGGAGAUUCUAUUAUAAAUCCUAAUUGUCGGAUUAAAUAAAUAAAAUUAACUAAUUGAGGAUCGUCUCAUGAGGGUGGAUAAAUAAUUAAUCCGCUCAUCUUAGAGUAUUCUAACUCACUUACUAAUUAAUAGCCUCAUUCUAAAUUAAUCAAUAAUUAGAAUUAGCUCAAUUUAAUAAAUAGAUUAAUCUAGACUACCCUUAAAUUGGGCCUGAUUUUAAGCCAAAAAUAAUAAUGGCAGUCCAAAUAAAAAUUAACUCUAGCCCAAACUAAUUAAAUACAGCCUAUUAUAAAUUUAGAUCUGCAGCCCACAUAAUUAAAAUGAAGGCCCAAUUUUUCGGCCCAAAGAGAAAAAAAUCAAAUGGCCCAACUCUUUUUCUUCCUUAACAAUCAUCCGCUCUCUUUCUCUCUCUCAGAAACGCUCACAGCUCCCUUCCGUAAGGCGGCUUCGUCCGCCUCCUGCUCCGGCCGGCGUCGGUCGUCGCCGCGCCUGAGCCCGGCGCUCUUCUCUCUCUUGUCCGCCUUCGAUUUCCUCAUGAAACCGAGCUUCCAUCUCCCUCUCCUCUUUUCGAUUUCGGAGGCUCCGUCUCUCUCCCUCACGCUGAAGUUCCGCCGCCGCCUUGUGAAGGCCGGCGAGCCGGCGCCGCCUCACUCCCUCUCUCACUCCACACCUCUCAAAUUCUCAAUUCAGCCUAUCCUCCUCUGCAAAUUUCGUGCCCUUAGCUCUUUCUCUGAAAUCGCAGCGCCGUCACCUCGAAUCUGAAAAUCCGGCGAGGCCGACGCUAAAUUACUCAACCGGAAACAAAUUCGACUGCUCCUCUCUUCCCCGUGUUGUAGCAGAUCAGUCGUCGUUGUUGGGUCUGUAAACCCAGCGACUAGCGGUCGCCGGUUCCCUCGGCGCCGCUCUCCCCAUUCUUCAGCAAGAUACUAUCUUGCUGAAGCCGCUGCUCCGGCUUCUGAACCAUCGCUGCCCCUGCUCGAACUCCGGCGAGCCAGCAUCAUUCAAGGCAAAGCUAAGUUCGAACUUAUUUCUACAGUAUAAUAGGGAUUUGUUUUGUAUACGUCACUCACUUCUUGCUGCCAUUUUAUUAUUGCAUAUAUGUUGCUGGGAGGCUCUAUUGCAUAUCUGUACAUGGUUCGCGACGCCUAGUUGUUUUUCCAAUUUGGUGCAGGCCAUAAAUCAUCUUGAUUCCUAUUUUCGAUUAUGCAAGAGAUUAAACUAAGCAUGUAGUUGUUUCUAUAUCAUAAGAGUUCUUACUGACUUUGUGAUUGCUAAGCCCCUUAAGUAUAUAGACUCAUUUAUGAACUCAGUAUUUUUUUUGUUAAAAGAUGCCUUGAUGGGUAUGAGCAUGUAACAUUGACUAGAAUAACUGAGUUUAGCAAUUACCUUGUAAUUGUUUGGUGUUUGGUGGCUGCUGCUAUUGAUUUCAGAAGGAGAAUAACUGAAAUAAAAAUGAUUCCUUAACGAAUGCAGGUGAACUAUGGAAGAAUGGGGAAGUUCAAGCUACAACUUACCUCUUCGAAAUCAAGGCUGGAGUUAAAAGAAACAACCCUCCCUCUCUGAACCUUGGUGCGCCUAAAAGAAGGAAAAGAAUUAUGGCUGGUGUUGUAUUUUUUUUUAAGUGAAGUUGGCUACUUGACUAUCUUAAUUCCAUAAGAGAGCUUACAAGUGAAGGAAAAGGAUUAGGUAUAAGGUGUGCGGCUGAAAGACCGCUACUUUGUACUAUAGCAUGACUGUGAGUAGGUGGCCGCAGAGUUUGAAGGAAGGGGCGUGCUGUAACAGUAAUUGAUGUUUCUUUCACCUUUUUGUUGCACUCACACGUUCUCUUCUUUCCUCCUUUUCUCUUUUCCUUCUUUUGAUAAAGUUUCAUACUUUUUCUUUUCCUUCUUCUUUUUGCACUAGAUAGUGAAUAGUAGUGUAGAAAUGAUUGUUGAUAGUAUUUGUUGGAGAGCAUGCGUGUAGUAUGCUAUGAUUGUAAGUGUUGGAAAGUCUUGAGGUGACAAAUAGAAUCCCAUAGUAGUUUUUGUAUCAAUUGAGGAUCUAUAAAUCUAAUUUUUUUUUUUCGUAUUCUACUAAUCUUUAUAAAGCCUCUGCGAAUUAAAUAUCUAAUUUAACUCGCUCUAUUAGUCGGGAUUAAAUCCACAACUGAGUAAAGUAAUAGAUAGAAAUAAUAUUUCGAUUACAAAUAAAAUAAUAACUCGACUUUGCUAAGUCAAUUAUCAUUCUGAAAUAAAUCAUUGACUACUCAAUAAUUCAAUCGUUGUCAUCUCAGGUAAUGACAUCUAAUUCAGAACUCUGAGCUGAAUUAACUGAAUAUUAAUCACUGAAUUAAAUCAACUGAAAUAUGUAAAAAUAAAUAUUGCAUUUAUUGCUCUUAAUCAUAAAAUAAAAUAGCGGGCUACUACAUACUAUCCCUCUUAACAAAAAUUUCGUCCCGAAAUUUGCAUAUCAUUGCAAAAAGGUUCUGGGUACUUUCUCAUCUUGAUUUCUGUCAGACUAUCUCAAUCAUCCUGUCUGGUCCUAAAAUUCUCCUUUCACCUACUUUAUCUCAGUAGAGUGGUGAUCUAUAUUUUCUUCCAUGCAUUACCUCAUAAGGCGUCAUAUUGAUUGUUGCCUGAUAACUAUUAUUGUAGGCAAACUCAAUCGAUGACAUCACUGUUCAUCACUUUCACCUUUGCCUUGUACUACUUUUAACGUGUCUUCGAGAGUCUGAAUUAUUCUCUCAACCAUCUAUAUGUUUGUGGGCAAAAGGUGGUACUGAAAUUUAACCUUGUGCCUAAUUUCUUCUACAAGUUCAUACAUAAUCUGGAUGUAAACUUCGAAUCUCAGUCCAAAGUGAUUGACACGAGCAUACCGUGGAACGCACAAUUUCUCAAACAUAUAAUUGGCCUAACUUGUCUGAUCCGUAUGUGAUCGGUAUUAAUAUAAAACGAGCUCAUUUCGCAAGUCGCUCCACUAUUACCCAGAUGGCAGCACUCCCUCUUUUCGACUUCGUAAACUAGUCACGACAUCUGUUGCAAAGUGCUCUAACUUCCAUUAUGAAAUCUCCAAUGGUUGUAAUUUUUCAUAUGGUCUAUGGUGCAAAGCCUUCACUCGUUGGCAUGCUAGGCAUCUCUCAACAAGUGUAGCUAUAUCUUUCCAUCGGAAUUCUUCUUUCAAGUCUUUGUACAUUUUAUGCUUCCCGGGUGGCCAGUAUAUGGCGUGUCAUGAGCUUCGUUCAUUAUCUCAUCUCUGAAUUGUUCAUCGUGUGAACACACACAAUCUUUGAUCAACAUCAACGCAUUAUCCACGUCUCAUGAUAUGUUUCCUAAUCUUAUUGCUAAACGUAUUUUCUCCAAGGUCUCAUUCCCAUUUUUUUUUUUUUUCAGCUUUCCUAAAAAGUUGGGUGUUAUUACCUUCGUGGCAAUAAUCCCUUCUACAGAUUCUAGUGGUUGAACCACUUCUAAAUUCAUUCUACUAAAAUCUUUCAUGGGUUCCUCUUCCUGAGUGAGGGGAGAUCCCAACUUAAGUUGAGUCUUACGACUCAAGGCAUCAACUACCAUGUUAGCUUUGUCUGGGUGGUAGUUAUUAGCACCGCCAUAGUCUUUCACUAGUUCGAGCCAUCUCAUCUAUCUCAUGUUAAGAUUCAUUUGCUCGAAAAAAAAAUAUUUCAAACUUUUAUGGUUUGUGAACAUCUCACAUCUAAAUCCAUAUAGGUGGUGUCUCUACUACAACUAGUUCUAGAUCAUGAGUUAGAUAGUUCAAUUCAUGUGGUCUAAGCUUUCAUGAUGCGUAUGCUAUCACUCUUCCUUCUUGUUUUAACACGCAAUCGAGUACUAUCUUGGACGUGUAUACAUAAUCCACCUAUUCUUUGUCAAUCGUUGGAACAGCUAACGCUGGUGCAGUGGUUAACUUCUCCUUGAGCUCUUAAAAUCUCCUUUCACAUCCUUCUGUCCAAGAAAAUUUGAUUCACUUCUUGAGUAGUUGCGUCGUUGGUCUUUAUAUUUGAAAAAAAAAAAAUCCUUCUACGAACCUCCUAUAGUAACUUGCUAAUCCCAAGAAACUCUUGAUCUUCUUAGGGUUAGUAGGCGAUCUCUAUUUGUGUACGACUUGUAUGUUGUCAGGACCCACUCUAAUCCCUUCUCAUGAGAUAAUAUGUCCCAAAAAUGUGACUUCAUUGAGCCAAAAUUCGCACUUGCAGAACUUAGCAUAAAGAUGCUUUGUUUUCAAUAUUUUUAAGACUAUCCUCAGGUGUUUCUCAUGGUCCUUCUCGUUCCUCGAGUAGAUCAAGACAUCAUCUACGAAAACUAAGACAACUUGCCUAAGUAUGGGUGGAACACUCGGUUCAUGAGGUCCACAAACAUGGCUGGUGCAUUGGUCAAUCCAAAUGACACCACUACGAACUCAUAGAGUCUAUAUCUGGUUCGGAAGACCACCUUGGGUACAUCUUCUCAUCGAAUCUAUAGUUGAUGGUACCUAGACCUUAAAUCUAGCUUUGAGGACACACUCACUCCUCUGAGCUGCUUGAAGAAGUCGUCUAUCCUCGAUAGAGGAUACCUGUCCUUGAGUGUCACCUUGUUCAACUUUCUAUAAGUUGAUGUGUAUCCUCGGUAGAGGAUACACAUUCUCAAUGUGCCAUCUUUAUUCUUUUACAAAAAGAACGGGUGCACCCCGGUGAAAUCUCCAGGAAACAUUUGGAAAUUCACGUACGAUUGUCACGUCUCCUAUACUUUUCUCGGUUUUUUUUUUUUUUUUUUUUCUGUGCAACUACACAAGGUAGGGUGGACACCAUUUUCUUAUCAUCUUUGUUGCUUGAGGGGCGGAGAUGAUCGUCUUUCUCCUACCCAUGCUGAUCCCAUGAAAACGUGUCAGUUUCUUCCCCGUGGUCGAAAAGAAAUUUGACUUUCAUUGCAAAUGAUGGUGGCAUAGUUCUCAACUAUCCAUUCCAUUCCUAAAAUUAUGUAUAUGUCUCUCAUCGGCAUAACAUACGAGUUGUUCACUCCAACUUGAAUAAUUUUUAUGCUUAGCUCUAAAUUCAAGCACACAUGUGCUAUUAUUGUUGUUGUUGCUAUCGCUGGUGUGGUUACUGCUCUUGGUAUGGUUGGGCAAAGCUUGGAUUGCUCAAAUGCAGAGUUCUGAACAGGCGAGUUUAGCCUGAGACCCGCCCUUUGUUGCUUAUUCGGGUAACGAUUUGUAUAAUGUUCAUUCCAGUUACUAUGCAACAUCCUUCAUUACCAGUCCUGGAGAGUUUCCCAUGGUUCUUGUUCCACUUUGGGCAGGGUGGAGUCCCAUAUUUGUUAUCCCCCAUCUGUUUUGAGGUGUCAUAGCCACGUUGCUGGGACGUCUGCCCCUGCCAUGACCCUUUCCUUAGCUUGGCCAGGGUUACUAUAUCCCAUUCUCUUUUUUUUUCUCAAAAGUUUUGAGCCCGAGUUUGUGGAGGUGCAGAUGUAGGCGCAGUUGCUGGUCUCUCUCCCAGCAUUGCUGCCUCAAUGCAUAACGCUUUGCUGAGCGACUCCACGUAAGACGAUCCACCAUGGCUUGCCCAAGCCUUUCUAAUCUUGUGCCUCAGUCCGACACAGAAUUCUUUUAACCAUCUUUUCAUAUGUGUCUACUUGCUCUAGCGCAUAUCUUGACGUAUCGCAGAACAUCAUGCCGUAUGGAGUAAUUGUUGUUCUUCCUUGCUUCGGAUUGUAAAAUUCCAUUUCUUUCUUUUUGCGAUAGCUUUUGGGUGUAUACUUGUCAUAUAUUACAGUCUUAAACUAUUCCCACAUUAAAUUUCCUAACUACUCAAUUGUCAUUGUCUUCCUCCUUGCUUCCCACCAUAAGUCAGCUGAAAGGAUACGCAAGUAAGACGUUCCAGAUCUGUGCAGCGCAAGAAAUUGAAGAUGCGUUCACUAGCUUGUACCCAAGUCUCAGCCUUUGUUGGAUCUCCUAUCCUAUCGAAGACAGGUGGGUUUCCUCGUAGAAAUAGUUCUUCUAUUCUACGUUUUUGUUGUAUAGUUAGUGGCGUUAUAUUGUUCUAGCCAUAGUACUGGGCCUUUUUCAUUAUCUCGUGGAAUUCUUCCUCUUCUUCUCGGAUUCCCUUGUUUUGGUGGCGUACUGAUGAGUUGACACGUAGUCAUCAAUACAUACAUAUGCAUAUCAUCACUUCUGUAAACCGUUUCUUGAUUCUCAAAUCUUGCUCGCACUCUUCCUCGUGCAAGCAUAUAAGUAAAAUGUGGCGGAAUUGACUUGCCGCAAAAGAUCGAUAAGGUCGCUAAAAAGACAUAAGAAAAUUGUUUCGAUGAGAACUUCUACAUUAACAUAUGGAUCUAGAUGUAUUGAUCUAUCCAAGUACUACUCAUGAUGAACUGGCUGUCUAGCAAUGCCAUCACCAACUAAUUUGGUCAUGGAACCAGUUUUUUUUUUUUCGUACUAAUACUAGUCAAACAUAACUAAGCCAACAUAGGGCAUACAAAAACAUCAGAACAAUCAUUGUUUUCUAAAAAAAUAAUAACGUUCUACCAAAUCCAUAAGAGAUGGUCUAGCUGCAUCAUGUGAUUGACCCUUGGGUCGAGGCAUACUUGUUUGAUGGAUUUAAUCUGGUGAAUACUUGUUUGUCUUUAGGUCACCGGAAAUCUACUAACAACUAACAAACCACAAUGAUUAAAGUCACAAAUGGCAAUUACGCAGAGUGAAGUGAAUCAACAAUUUUGUCAGACGAUUGAAAAGAAAUGGCCUUAGGGUAGAAAUGAAUUGACUAAAAGGUCGAAACGAAAUGACCUAAUAAUCUGAACCCGCUUGGCUUUUCAGAUGAAAGUUUAAAUAUAUAGGUUUAGAGACCCAUAUAUGACGACUACUGAUAUUUUGGUCAUGUGGACUGGCCAGGUCCGACAUAACUACUUCUCAGUCACUCGGAAAUACUUUUCCGAACUUGGCAACUCUUGUUCAUUGGCUGAAAAAGGUAUAUUUGGUCUAAAAUCACCACUUUCUUCUUAACAUCUUGAACAUGUCCUUGAGAAUAUUCUAGAGCUUCUCAAACUUGGAGUCUGCCUCCUAGUUUAAUGCAAUCCUUAAACAUCUUCUAUAGGCGAAAUAAGGUAGGCUCGACCUUACUCAACAAUCUUCCUCUACAUGAUCUUUGUGUAGUACUUCUAGUACUUAGUGUUUUCUUCACAUAGCACUUGAAAUGCAACCAUAUAAUUUGAAGUACUAUUCCGUGUUAUUGCAAAAGAUCUUCUGAAUCAUCCCACAUUCAAUAAGAAAAUAGCUUUUGCUCAUCUGAGCACCUUUAUAGGGUAUGUGUCACCAUAUGUAAUGCUAAGUUAUGGAAUGACCUUAGUCAAUGCUAUAAUUCCGGAUACUCAGACUAAAUACAUAAUACAAAACUUCUGAGUACGCAGCGGAAUAAGGUUCUGAUUACAUGUAUGAAGACAUGUAUCCCUAGAGUUCAUUAAUACAUAAUAAGACAAAAGAGUCCCGCUCGUCACUUCAUCACCAUCGGCAGCUACUCAACCUGCACAUUUAGAAAUAUAUGCAGGGCUGAGUACAAAAGUACUCAGUGGGCACGUAUGCCUAAGUAUAAAAAUACAUGCUUCAAAACUGUAAAUUGUCAUGCCAUCAUAAACAGUACAGCAAGGGAGUUUUUCGCUAAAAAGGCCCAAGCUUACUAAGUUCAUUUGUGAUUCUUAAAGUUCGUCUGCAGACUAAGUUCUCUUGUAAUCUAUCAUAUCUGGAACUUUGUGCCGGAGAGGUGGCCACCUCUCACGAACACUUGACCGACCAACCCGCUAGAUGACUCACGGUCACUGGUGUACACUAGCCCUGGCAGGAUAGCUAUCAACUGCUCAGGACCCGAAUUCGAUUGCAUAUAUGGCAAAGCCACAUCAGAUAGAUAUCAUACCAAAUUGAAACAUUUAUGGCAAGACAACAGUUGAAAUAAUUUUCAGUUCAAAGAUUGUGUAAAAUACGUGUUCAAACUAACAUUAACUCACUAGAUAUAUAUGAAGUAAUGCCCACCUGAUAGAAACUUUCUGUGGUACAGUAGCUCCUUGUCUGAUUAUUAAUCUCGUGCUUGACCUUGGGAAUGACUGUUGGUUGGCUGAUUGUCGUUGAGUUUAACGAACUGGAAUGAUUGAACUGAACUCCUCGCAGAGAAUGUAUGAAGGCCCCUGCUGUCCUGAACUUUCUAAGUGUGGAAUGGAAACAAAAUGGAGAUUAAUAGCUGAUGAAGUCUGGAACAAAAUGAAGGUGUUCGGGUGUGAAAUGCACACUUGUUUUAGUCAAAAUGUGCAAACUGGCUGGAGUCAAAAAGAUACAAAUAGGCGGUGGAGCAUGCUAAGGAAUAGGGGAGGGUUGAAAACAAAGGAAAAAUGUAGCUGCAGUAGAUGUUCCUUGCAGCACACACGUUUUAUCCUUCUCAUUCUUUUCUUUCUUUUCCUUUUUCUUUAAGUGCUAGAUAGUGAAUAGUAGUGUAGAAAUGAUUGUUGAUGGUAUUUGUUGGAGAGCAUGCGUGUAGUAUGCAAUAGAGUAGGAAAGAGGACUAUGAUUGUAAGUGUUUGAAAGUCUUGAGGUGACAAAUAGAAUCCCAUAGUAGUUUUUGUAUCAAUUGAGGAUCUGUAAAUCUAAUUUUUUUUUUCGGAUUCUACUUAUCUUUAUAAAGCCUCUGCGAAUUAAAAUAUCUAAUUUAACUCGCUCUAUUAGUCGGGAUUAAAUCCACGACUGAGUAAAGUAAUAGAUAGAAAUAAUAUUUCGAUUACAAAUAAAAUAAUAACUCGACUUCGCUAAGUCAAUUAUCAUUCUGAAAUAAAUCAUUGACUACUCAAUAAUUCAAUCGUGGUCAUCUCAGGUAAUGGCAUCUAAUUCAGAACUCUGAGCUGAAUUAACUGAAUAUUAAUCACUGGAUUAAAUCAACUAAAAGAUGUAAAAAUAAAUAUUGCAUUUGUUGCUCUUAAUCAUAAAAUAAAAUAGCGGGCUACUACAUUGUAGGCCGAUGUGACACAGAAAGGGAAGCUUUGUGUCAGCAAGGACGAUCUCCUAUCUUCGGCAUUUAAUGCUUCUGUCCUGUGCAUCAAAUUCACUUUGUACGGUGGUUGACUUCUUUGGCUUCUUGACGAACGGACUAAUGCAUUCCAAGGUAUCAGUCAGAAUAUUGUCACAUAGACUUCAGUGCCAUUUCAUCAGUCGGCUCUACUGAUCAUGUAUCUUCAAUCGAUUGAUCUUCAGUCUUCAGUCUAGUAUCUUCAGAUACUGGUCUUCAGUCUAUGUCGCUUUAGUCUAAAUAAUGUGGACUAAAACACUUAAGUCCAUAAAGAGUGUUAGACAAGAGAGACAUUCUAUUAGUUUUAGUAUCAUCAAAGCAAAGAGGUUAGAUAUAUAUUUUUGUGUCCCAACAAUUUCCCCCUUUCUGAUGAUGCCAAAACCUUACAAUUGAGUUCCUACAGUAAGAAGAAAGACAACAGGGAAAACGGAUUGCAAGACUAUACAAAGGACACCAGUUCCCCCUAAACAAGAUAACCUUUUAACCUGCAAUCAGAAAAAGACUGAGAGAAAAGCAUAAGAGUAAAGCAUAAAGAGUAAAGAUCUUAACAGUGCCUGGACAACUAGUGAUUAUCUUCAGGAUGUAGAGAAGAGGUCAUUUCAUAAAACAAGGAAACUAAUGAUUUAUCAGUUUAAGAAAACAUUCACAACAAGGAGAAAGAACAUAACAUAAGACAAGAUAAAUCUACGAUUUUUGUCCGUAGAUCCGAUUGAUUUUCUCUCAAAUCCUUUGCCCACUGUGGCUGAGAUUCCUCAGUGAAUUUCCAGGUGUUCAUUAUGAUCUUUAUUUCUUAUUCCACUACUUCUUUGUCGAAGAUCCCAUUCCUGGUGGGAGCGGUGAUGUAAUGCGGAGGAGGAGGAUGAACAGCAUUUACAGAGUCUGCUGCAACUGAGAGACGAUUCACCCUCUCAUUUUCUCCCCAAUUUUUGAGAAAAUAUAUCCAUGAAUCCUUUAUGGUAUGUUCUGGAGCUCUUCUCUUCAGAUUUACGCAAAUGCGAUACCAUUUGGUGAAGCUUUCAUUUAGUCCGAUCCACUAGUCACUCAAGUCACUUUACACCCAGUAAUCUUGGUGUUUCACAUUCUUUGCGGUGAAAAAGGACUUUAGAAUCCCUGCCUCCAAGUAAGGUUUCAUGCGUUGGAAUGGCUUCAGUUGUAUUCACCCGCUGGAAUGUAGGGCUCGACCGUUGGAGAUUUUGCUCGCCCGCGGUAGUAUCAGGCUCGGCUGCUGUCAAUUGCUGGAGUAUGCAUGGUGAUGGCGGUGGUUUUAGAUGGAGAAAGGAAUGCGGCGGCUGGGUGUAGGUUUGGGAGAGUAAUGAAGUGGGUAGAUGGAAGAGUAAUGAGAGAUAAUGAGGAUGGUGGGAAUUAAAGGUGCACUGAUUAAAAUAAAUUCAUCUGCAAAGCACAACAACUCUGUAAUUUCCACCAUCUGCAAAUUUCAGAAUAAUUCUCAUUAGCUUACUAUAACAAACAGGACCAAAACACCAAAAAGGAAUAGAACGAAAAUGAAAUAACAUAAAAAUAAAUGUGGGUUGCCUCCCACAAAGCGCUCUGAUUAAAGUCUAGAGCUCGACAUCAUCAGAUUCUUUAGCAAUCAGGAUUAUGGAGAGCUUGAGACUCCACCACCAUUGGAGGGCUAUGGUGCUCAAAGUACGGUUUUACUCUAUGUCCGUUCACUGUGAAACUUUCAUCAGUAUUUUCGUUAUAUAGCUCUACCGCACCAUGAUCGAAAACUUCCUUAAGCAGGAAUGGACCACUCCAUCUGGAUUUAAGCUUGCCAGGGAAAAGCUUCAGUCUUGAAUUAAAUAAUAAAACCUUUAUUCUCGGGCGAAGUUCCUAGUGAGAAAUACGGCUAUCAUGAAGCCGCUUCACCUUGUCCUUGUAUAUCCGGGCGUUCUCAUACGCCUCAUUGCGCAGUUCAUCCAAUUCUUCCAUCUGCAAUCUACGGUGUUUCACUGCGGUGUCCAAAUCACAAUUUGCUGCUUUGAUAGCCUAGUAUGCUUUGUGCUCGAUCUCUACAGGCAGGUGACACGCCUUUCCAUACACGAGACGGUAUGGACUCAUCCCGAGUACUUCUUUGAAAGCAGUUCUGUAAGCCCACAGCGCAUCAUUAAGCUUUGUCGACCAAUCUUUGCGCGAUGGUUGAACUGUCUUUUCCAUAAUGCCUUUAAUUUGCCUGUAGCUUGUCUUAGCCUACCCAGAUGUCUGCGGGUGAUAAGGUGUGGCUACCUUAUGUGUAAUUCCGUUCUUUUUCAUGAGCUUUGCAAAUAACUUGUUGCAGAAAUGCUUCCCUCCAUCACUAAUAAUUGCUCUGGGAAAUCCAAAUCUGCAGAGAAUAUUUUCCUGAAUAAACUUAAGCACCACAUUAGCAUCACAUGUCCAUGUGGGGAUAGCCUCAACCCAGUUGGACACAUAAUCUACAGCAAGCAAGAUAUAUUCAAAUCCAUAAGAGACAGGAAAAGGACCCAUGUAAUCUAUGCCCCACACAUCAAAAAUUUCCACAGCCAAAAUAUUAUGGAGAGACAUUUCAUUUUUACAUCCAAGAUUUCCUACUCUCUGACACCUAUCACAAGCCAAAUAAAAAGUGUAUGCAUCUUUGAACAGAGAGGGCCAGAAUAAAUCAGAUUGCAAAACUUUAUGCGCUGUCUUCUGUCCCCCAAAAUGUCCACCACAAUGAGUUUCAAGACACAAACUCAAAACUUUCUGUUGCUCUUCGUCCGGGACACAUCUUCUAAUUACUUCAUCUUUGCCCAGCUUGAACAGAUAUGGAUCUUCCCAGUAAUAGUGCCUGCACACAGCAAGAAAUCUUUUCAUUUCCUAGGAUGUCAGAUUCGGUCUUGAUUCUCCACAGGCCAGAAAAUUCACAAUAUCAGCAAACCAAGGCACAAAAGUGAGUUCAUAGGCAUGCUCAAAAGGAAAAGAUUCAGGAAUAAUUCUGUGACCAGACUCCACCAAAUUAUUUUCCAGUCUAGAUAAAUGAUCUGCCAAAGAAUUCUCACUCCAUUUUCUAUCCUUAAUUUCCACAUCAAAUUUUUGCAGUAAUAAAAUACAACGGAUUAGACGUGGUUUAUCCUGUGUUUUGGUCAGCAGAUAUCUCAAAGCAGCAUGAUCACUGUGAACAAUUACUUUAGACCCAAUAAUGUAAGCACGAAAUUUAUCUAAAGCAAAUACCACAACAAGCAGCUCUUUUUCAGUAGUGGUGUAAUUUAUUUGUGCACUGUUCAGAGUUAAACUAGCAUAAUAAAUUACACGCAACAUUUUUUCCACACGCUGACCAAGCAUAGCUCCUACAGCAGAAUUCGAAGCAUCGCACAUAAUCUCAAAAGCACAGCUCCAAUCAGGAGCAAUUACCAUAGAAGUAGUACUCAAUUUCAAUUUCAACAAUUCAAAAGCGUGCAUGCAAGAAUCAUCAAAGUGAAAAGGCACAUCUUGGGCAAGCAAUUUACACAAAGGUUGACUGAUUUUUGAAAAAUCUUUAAUGAAAUGCCGGUAAAAACCAGCGUGACCCAAAAAACUUCUAAUUCCCUUAACAUCAAUAGGAGGGGGUAAUUUUUCAAUUACCUCAACCUUAGCUCUAUCAACCUGUAUACCAUGCUUGGACGCCACAUGACCAAGAACUAUGCCACUAGUCACCAUAAAAUGACUCUUUUUCCAACUCAACGUCAGGCCACUUUCAAUGCAUCUUUGUAGGACCAACUCAAUCUAAGCAAGACAGUCACUAAAGAAUUGACCAAACACAGAAAAAUCGUCCAUAAAACUUUCCACAAAAUUACCUAUCAUCUCUGAAAAGAUCGACAUCAUGCACUGAUUUAUGCUUAAUUGUGCUAUAUUUUGGGGUUUAUAUGAGCUUUAUUUUAAGAGAAUCUUCUGGAAAAUGGUGCGUUUUAUGGCUUGUUUGAUGCUUUGCAGGAGAUUUAGGUUUUUAGAUGGAAGAAUACAAUUUUGGAGAUUUCGGGGCUAAAGAGGUAUUUUUAGCAUAACUCUGUAGCCGGAGCAGAGCAGCAUAGCUCUAUCGCCAAAGCCCGCGCUCCAGACCAGACCAGAGAAGUCAGCCGAAGCCCCGAGUCAGAGAAACCAAUCUCCAGAGUAGCAAAGCCCGCGCUGAAAGCGCCAGAGGAAUCGAAGCGCCAGAGGAAUCGAAACGCCAGUGGAAUCAAAGUCCCAUCGGAAUCAAAGUCCAGUGCAGCGGAAUCAAAGUCCAGUGCAGCGGAACUGAAGUUCAUUACAGCGGAAUCGCAAAGUCCAUUACAACGGAAUCGAGAAGCCAGAGAAAUCACCAUUCCGCUGGCAACCCAUCCCGCUGGCGAGAACCAGAGCGGAAGCCGUUCCGCUGGCGAGAGCCGCGAUUUCCGCCAUAGUGGAGAUUAUUUCCAGAGCGCGCGUCACAGCUGGACUUACCUUCCUUUGCACGAUUCUAUUCCUUUUAGAGUCCAGCUUUGCAUGGCACUUCCAUAGUGAUCAAGAAGGAUUUGAAGUCUAUAAAUAUGGCCUAGUUUUUCUUUCAGAUACAAUUCCUUGCCCUAAUUUUUGUUUUUCCUAGAGAUCAUCUUUCUCUUGGCAGCCGCAAACUUUAGACUUAGACUUAUUAGUUUACUUUGAUUACGUUCAUUCUUUUGCUUUAGUUUUCAGUACCGACGAUUUCUCUUUUCAUUCGAGAGUAGUUAUUUUAUUGCAUUUUAAUUUAUUCUCUUGUUUUAUGUUUACUUCUAUUUCUUUGCUUGUUCUUAAUUUAAGCAUGAGUAGCUAACUUUUUAAUUCGGCGAGAAUAAUGAAACUCUGAUUUAAUUAUCUGUGAGACCUAAUUGGUUUAAAAUUGAUUCCUAUUGAUUCCGAUUAAUUCCAAGGUUCAAUGAUAAUUCUGAUUUUAUUUAAGCCUGAUCAACUUAGGUUUAAUUGGAUUAUAGUCAAUUAGCACCUCCAAUCCGUAAUUGUUGGAAUAGGGCUGAUUAGUGACAAAACUACCAUGUUUGUAGUAGGAAUAAAUUGGUGGAUUAAUUAUUACUAGCGUAUCUAGGAUAAUUGGUCUAAAUUGGGUUCCUUCCUCUUAAUGUUGUUAGAAUAUUAAAUCUAAGACUGGCGUAUCCAGCUAGGUUAUAUUUUAAUAAGGGNGAGAAACCAAUCUCCAGAGCAACGAAGCCCGCGCUGAAAGCGCCAGAGGAAUCGAAGCGCCAGCGGAAUCAAAGUCCCAGCGGAAUCAAAGUCCAGUGCAGCGGAACCGAAGUCCAUUACAGCGGAAUCGCAAAGUCCAUUACAGCGGAAUCGAGAAGCCAGAGAAAUCACCAUUCCUCUGGCGAUAGCAGAGAAAUCACCAUUCCGCUGGCAACCCAUCCCGCUGGCGAGAGCCAGAGCGGAAGCCGUUCCGCUGGCGAGAGCCGCGAUUUCCGCCAUAGUGGAGAUUAUUUCCAGAGCGCGCGUCACAGCUGGACUUACCUUCCUUUGCACGAUUCUAUUCCUUUUAGAGUCCGACUUUGCAUGGCAACUUCCAUAGUGAUCAAGAAGGAUUUGAAGUCUAUAAAUAGGGCCUAGUUUUUCUUUCAGACACAAUCUUUUGCCCUAAUUUUCGUCCUUCCUGGAGAUCAACUUUCCCUUGGCAGCCGCAACUUAGACUUAGAUUUAUUAGUUUACUUUGAUUACGUUCAUACUUUUUCUUUAGCUUUCAGUACCGACGAUUUUUCUUUUCAUUCCAGAGUAGUUAUUUUAUUGUAUUUUAAUUUAUUCUCUUGUUCUAUGUUUACUUUUAUUUCUUUGCUUGUUCUUAAUUUAAGCAUGAGUAGCUAAACUUUUAUUUCGGCGAGAAUAAUGAAACUCUAGUUUAAUUAUCUGUGAGACCUAAUUGGUUUAAAAUUGAUUCCUAUUGAUUCCGAUUAAUUCCUAGGUUCAAUGAUAAUUCUGAUUUUAUUUAAGCCUGAUCAACUUAGGUUUAAUUGGAUUAUAGUAAAUUAGCACCUCCAAUCCGUAAUUGUUGGAAUAGGGCUGAUUAGUGACAAAACUACCAUGUUUGUAGUAGGAAUAAAUUGGUGGAUUAAUUAUUACUAGCGUAUCUAGGAUAAUUGAUAUAAAUGGGGUUCUUCACCUUAAUGCUGUUAGAAUAUUAAAUCUAAGACUGGCGUAUCCAGCUAGGUUAUAUUUUAAUAAGGGAAAUAGACAAGACUAGCGUAUCUAGCUGUUUAUCGACAUAGUAAGUAGGAAUUGGGGUAUGUCAGUGCGUAUCACGGUAUCCUAUAACUGGUUGGUUGAUAGGGAUUGAUUAAUUAUUGCGUCGAGGAUCAGAGUUGAAUUAGAGUGGAUUUAUUUGAGCCGAAUUACCUUUUUAUUGGUUUACUUCAAGCGUAUUUUAUUUGAUUUAAUUCUGCAUUCUUAGUUUAAUUAACUUCUCUUAAAUUUAAGUUGUGGUGGCAUCACCAAUUUUAUAGAUUUUAGGGAUUUGAAUGAGUUUUAACUGCUCUCUGUGGGAUCGACCCUGCUUACCAAUAUACUAAUUUAUUUUGGUAAUUCCGCAGGAAUUAUUUGGUGGUAUACGACGUCCACCAUGCACCUUUGAAAUGUCCAGGGUGCAUUGCACAGUCCAAACGGCAUAUUCUUCCCUGCAAACGUCCCUAACGGAGUGGAGAAAGCUAUUUUAUCUUGAUCUUCCCGUGCAAUCGCGAUGUGAUAGUAACCUGACAAACCAUCAAGAAAACAGUAAAAAUUAUGCCCAGCUAAACGAUCCAACAUCUGAUCAAUAAAAGGAAGAGGAAAAUGAUCCUUUUUUGUGGCUGCAUUCAGCUUCCUAUAGUCGAUGCACAUCCAUCAUCCCGUGACAGGACGAGUCGGCACCAACUCUCUUUUGUCAUUGAGGAUAAUUGUGAUCCCUCAUUUCUUCGGCACUACAUGCACCGGGCUCACCCAUUCGCUAUCAGCUAUAGGAUAGAUAAUCCCUUCUGCUAACAGCUUGAGGAUCACAUUGUGCACCACUUCGAUAAGGAUAGGAUUUAAUCGCCGUUGGCCAUCUCGCUUGGGCUUAGCUCCUUCCUCAAGGUAGAUCAUGUGCAUGCAUGUGGCAGGACUAAUGCAUCGAAUGUCAGCUAAGCUCCAACCAAAAGCUACUUUGUUCCUCUUCAACACCUCUAGCAACGCCUUUUCUUGUUCCCGAGAAAGCGCAGCUGAUAUGAUCACAGGCUUCUCCUUGCCUUCUUCUAGGAACACGUACUUGAGAUUCGCAGGAAGUUCCUUCAACUCCAGCUCGGGUUUCUUGAAAUCCACCGACUCAUUAAGAGGAAGUGUCGCUUUUAGAGCCUUUUCCAACUCUUCAGUUUCCCUAGCAAAUUCUUCCAUGUCUGCUGAUCCUGUAAAAACUUCUUCUAUUUCCUGCUCCUACACAAAAGCUAUCUCGGCCAAGCCAUCAAUAACAUCUAUAAAUGAACAGUCAUUAGCGAAGUUUGCAGUUGGCAUCGCACGACUAUUAUGCACAGAAAAAGACACAGACUCCCCUUACACAGUCAUUUUAAUAGUCCCAUUCUUGACAUCAAUUAAUGUGUUAGUGGUAGCCAUAAAUGGUCUUCCCAACAAAAGUGUGUGCUCUAUACCAUUCUCCUGCACUUUCCCAAUUUCCAAAACCACAAAGUCAACAGGGACAAUCAGUCCACCCACUCUCACCAAUAUAUCCUCAAUUAUCCCACGAGGAUAUCUAACAGACCUAUCAGCAAGCUGUAAACACAUGCGAAUGGGUUUUAAAUUACCUAACUCUAAUUUCUUAAAAAUAAAGUAAGGCGUCAAAUUAAUCCCCGCACCCAAAUCUAACAUGCCUGUAGCUUCCUUACCAUUCCCCAAAGCAAUAUUUAUCACAAAGCUACAUGGGUUGCACUGUUUGGGAGACAAAGGUUGCUGCAUGAUGGAGUUUGCAACCUCCGAAACCAGAAUCUUUCAUUGUCCACAAACUUCCUUUUCUUGGAAGCUAACUCCUUGAGAAACUUAACAUAAGCAUGGACAUUCCUAAUAACAUCCAGGAGAGGUAGAUUCACAUUCACCUUAGCCAGCAUGUUAUAGAAAUCCGUAAACUGCUGGUCCUGCUUCUUAUUCCUCAGUCUGCUUGGGAAUGGAAUUGGCGGUCGAUAUGGCGUGCUGGACUUGUGCAGUUUCACCUCUUGCUCUUUCUCCAUCUCCCCUUCUUUGGUUGGCAGCUCAUUUCUAUUUGCUCUUCCCUGCAGUCUCCCUUCAAUUGCUCAUCACAGGCUUUUCACUUUACUAUCCACUGUCUUGCACUGCUAGAACAGUAGAAGCUUGAGCCUCAUGAGCCUGCAAUGGUUGACCAUGAAGUUUUUCGGGCUGCUGUUGCUGCUGCAGCUGGUUCAAAGUACCUGACAUGUCCACAGUUGUCUCAAGACACUAGUAGCUGCCUGAGACUCAAAAUUCUGCUUGCUCAGCUCCAUAAAAGAUGUAUAGUCUCUUCCAAUGAAGAUUUCGCUGUGGAAUCUGCUUUGAUACUUGGUGGAGCAUUUUGGAACUGUUGCUACUGAAAAUUCCCUUGCUGCAUAGGAAAUUGCUGGGAAAAAUUUUGCUGCUGCAUAGAAUACUGCUUGUACUGUUGUGAAAAAUUCUGCUGCUGCGGGACAGAAAAUUUUUGCUGAGGUGAGAAAUACUGCGGUUGAUUUUGAUAUCCCAUCUACUGUGGAGGUCUUCAGAACUGACUUCCUUGAUUUAAUCCUGAUCCUCCAGGACCCUGAUUUUUCCAGCCAGCAUUUUGCUGACCCCUCCAUCAUCCGUUGAAAUUUUGUUGGCCUUUUGGGGUCUGCUUGGAUAUCCUUGAGCUGAAUAAACUUCAGCUUCUCCUUCUGGCGUGUAUUCCCGCAUUCGUGACAUUCAUUGAAUUCAUAGCCAAAAUCACCACAUAUUUCACAACCUUCUACGCUCUGCUCUUGGAUACGAGGAGUCUCCAUCUUGCUCAUCUUGAGCUGUUGUACUUCUUUCAUAAGUGUAGCCACCUAUUUUUGCAGCUCGCCAGUCGAUGCUACUGCGCUAGCCUCAACCCGGCGUCCACGGGUCGACUUCUACUGAGAACUCUAGGCCAAAGUUGGGAAAAUCUGGUUAAGCUCUACAGUUGUCUUUCUAGCUAUGUUCCCACCUGCAGUACUGUCCACUAUAAAUUAAGCAGUCUGAAUCAGUCCAUCAUAGAAAAACUGGCUCAACAUCACAGGAGGCAGCUGAUGCUGCGGGCUUUCCCUGAGCAACUCCUGAAAUCUCUCCCACACCUCAUGAAAAGGCUCAUCAGCUCCUUGAGUGAAAUUCAUAAUCUGUGUACGAAUCUCCUGCGUCUUAUGAUUGGGAUAAAAUUUCAGCAUAAAUUUCUCGCAUGCCUGUCCCCAUGUUGUGAUGGAGUUUGCUGUAGAGACGACAACCAUGUCCUCGCCCUAUCCUUCAGCGCAUACUGGAAACAUUUAAGCUUCACCUGAUCUUCUAUGAUAUCCAGCAGCGGAAAAGUCUGCACCUGGGUCCAGAAAUCACGGAUAAACUUCAGGGCAUCUUCAUUAGGCAUUUCGUAAAAGAGGGGAAUCACAUUUGAAUCAUUGGGCGUCAACUUAUAGUUCCUAACUGCAGUAGGAAGAAUUAUAGCUGAACUUGUGGCCUCUAUAACAGGCCGGGCAAAAUCUCCCAUAUACAGCAAAUUGUUUUGCGCCAUCUCUUCUUUGCUGUGGUUGGAUUGCUCUUCUUCUUUUUCUGUUUGAUCACAUCUUGAUUCUUCAGAAUAUUAGAUUCAGUAUCUGCAGUAUCCUCCAGAGUGGUAUCUGACUUAGAACUCCUUGUGCGCUAGUGCUUUUUUUCCACAGAAUCAUCUGAACUGGACUCAGACUCCUCCUCCCAGUGGUUAGGAAAUAAUUCCUUGAUGUUCUUUCUAAACACACCACUGGUCCGAUUAAUGUUAUUAACGUAGGGCACCAAAUCAUAUUUUAAACUUUGGUGACCCUGCAUGCACAACACUAACAAACGGAUCAAACGUACCGACAGGAGAAAAUAACAGAGUCAAAAGAAAAUAAAAGAAACAAAAAAGAAACACAGAAAACAACGUGACACAAUUAAAAUGCCCGAAACCUUCCCCGACAACGGCGCCAAAAUUUGACUCAACUCAAAACAUCUAUUGAAUUGACUCGCAAUCGUACGAGAUCAUCCUAGUGCAGUAAGCUAACCCAAGUUGUCUCUCAAGGAAGAUUUAACAGGGCAUGCAAUCACGUCACACACAGAAAACAAUAAAAUCUAAACACUCUAAUUGAUUUGUUUGUUUGUACUAAUUCCCUAAUGCACUUAAUUAAAUAACUGAAAAUAAAUCUAAUUCUAGCAAAGAGAAAAAAGAAAUAAACAGAACACUAGUACCGAUGCAAAAAAUAAAUAUGGACCCUAGGCAAUAAUUAAAGGAGAACUAACUAAUAACCUACUAAAAUAAAAUACUGAAAAUUGAACUAACGAAUUGAAAAUACUGAACAUUAAAUCUACUGAAUAAAUCUACUAUUCUAGAAUAACAUAAUUAAAUCAAUAUAUUGAAAAGUGCGACAAACUUCAAUUAAAUUAAAAUAAAAGGAAAUGAUGAACUACCAAUAAAUGUUGAGAGAAUAAUAUCCACCACUGCUUACAACUUCACAAGGAAAUUGAAAUUCAAAUCUGAAAUUAAAUUCUAGCAACAGAAUACUUGAAAAACUCAAGAAACUAAAACCUACAAAGUGUUCUUGGUGCCAGUACGUGGGAAAAAGUGAUGGGUCAAAAAGAGUAGUCAGCCUCUUUAAAUAGUCUUCUCCUAUAAAACACGUUUUCUCCUUCUUUUAAUUUUUUGAGCGCGACACUAGAAGAAAGAAAGGCCUCAGCGGGUGCUGGGCCUUGAGCUCGAGCGCGGAAGGACUCGAUCGUUGGGAUGUUCGGCUCGGGCAAUAGGGUUGGAGCACCCCUCGACCGCUGACAUUUGAACUCGGGCGUGGGAUGGAUAGGAGAGCCUCGGGCGCUGGCUUCUAGGGCUCAGACGAGGGUGGAAAAAGAGGCCCUCUGUCGAUGGGAAUUAUGCUCGGGCGAUGGCUUUAAGAUGAAGCUCGGACGAUGGCCUUGAGGCCUCGGUCGCGGGAGUUUUGGAGGAGCUCGACCGCUGGCCUUGAGGCCUCGGCCGCGGCUCUUGUGCACGUGCAAUAUUUUCUCUUUAUUCCCAUUUUGCUAAGUAUUCAAAUUUCCUCCAUUUUAAGCUCUUCUACAAAAAGUGAAACCUUCUUCAUCA